rnacentral:lncRNA from 1 species
UCGGGAGGUUGUUAUCAAUUUAUCACUCUGCUUUCGUGGAGGGAGUUCAAACGGACUUCAAGAUUGAACCAUCGUUUGGAGUUGAAGCCUCGCAGCUUUAUCCUGAUGUCAAGUACACUACAGUUGAUGAGUACCUCAAUCAGUUUGUGUAACCCUUCUCUGCUUCCAGCUGCAGCUUGCAGGAUCUUGGACUCUGGGUAAAUAAAUAAUGGGCUUGUUGCAAUCUUUGGUUUUUAUAUGUAAAAAUUAUGGUUGUUGGCCUUACUUUCUUCUGGUUGUCAAUGGAAUUUGUAAGACCAUUUUAUGUUUGCUAUGUCAGUGAUCAAAUGAAGUAGGCCAUGUACUUGAUCUGAGAAUAAUUAUAAAGCCAACAUGGUCAGGUGAGUGCGUCUGUGGGGCUUUUAUUAGGGUGCGUGUGUGAGGCUUCUGAGGGGCUUGUGAUAUGGGGUCUACAGCCCCUAAUGGGCACGCGACUGCGUGCACUAAAUGAAGUUAUUAUAAAAAUAAUUAUAGAGUCACCAAGGCAAAAAUUAAAAGUAAUUUGCCAAUAAAAAUAGUUAAAAGUAAUAAAAAGUAGGUAUUAUAUUUCAAAAAUCAAUUUUUCAUUAAUGUUUAUAAGAUUAAAUUUGUUCUUAUCUUUCCUUAAUAAACACAAAAAUUUAUCGUUUUGGACUAAUUAAAAUUUUAAAACUAGCUAACAAGCAAACCGCCAUUAAUUUUUUUUUUUCCAUUUCUUUAAUCAUUCUUUUUUCUCUUUUUGACCUUUUUCUUUUUCUUUUCUUCAGUCCUUAUUUUUCUUUUCUUUUUUGGUUUUCCUCUAAACUCUUUAAGAAAGGCUGCCAAGCCUUGAAAAUAUCUCAAAAAAUAAGAUUUUCUUUCUUAAGAUUAACAUUUUAACCACAAAAAUAAAACUCUAGUCCAAACAUUGAGCACUUACAAAUCAAACGAUAAAAACCUCUUAUUAGUACAUUAACCGUAAAAUAAAAAAGAAUUAUCACAAAUAUUGAAAUGUUGUUGUUUGAUGCUUGAGAUUCUUGAAAUGUAUGCAGAAUUCCGACAAUAUUUUGUUGAAGCAACUCUCGGAAACUUGUUUGUUGAGAUUGAUGAAGAGUCCAUGGCAAGUAACCAGGCAUAUUGCAAUCCUUGUAAUUAUUCUGACCGAGAACAAUAAAACAAAAAGUGAAAACUGAAGAAAAUGAUAAGAAAACAAUAGAAUAAUAAUAUUAAAAACUCGCUAAUCUUGCCCAAUUUUUUUUUUUUUUGGAUAAUGUUCAGCGUAUACUAGAAUCUUUUAGAGCAGAAGCAAAACAGCAACAACUUUUCAAGAAAAGAAAAAAAAAAAGAAUUAUUAAAGAAAAUGGAAAAAAGAAUUAACGGCAGUUUAUUUGAUAGCUUUUAGAUAGCCAAAACCGGUGAGUUUUUGUGUUUUAAUAAGGAUAGUUAGGAAUAAAUUUAAUCCUCUCUAUAGAAUCAUUUAGUUACUAUGUGUCAAAAUCUCCUGUAAAGAAUAGGAAAAAUUAAAUUAGAAGAGGAUCCAAAUCAGGACUUGACUAGCUUACAGAAUCUGUAAGCUACGGACUGCAGCAUCAGCCGUUGGAUGUGGUUGGAUGUGGAGUGAGAAAUUAAACAAUAGAAGAUCGGAUGGUGGGAUGACGGGAGAUGUUUGUUACAGAAUCUGUACCAUAGACAGGUCCUCCAAAUCAUCAACAUCUUGGAAUAAACAAAAGAAUCUAAACAAAAGAAACUCGUUUUGCGUGUGAACCAGUUCAAGAUAAAGAGCAGACUAUUGGAAAGAGACAAAUACUACAAGAAUAACAAAACAUUCUACAGUUACUACAUAAGCCUGCAACAAUUAAUUAUUAACUCAAGAUUUAUUACACUUUUUCUUUAAUUUGACAAAGAAACCAAAAAUGAAAUAAAAUUGACAACAGCAAUGAUAUGCUUACAACAAUGAGUAUGAAACUUAGUACAACAAGGACCUUUUUGCUAAUUUUUUCAAAUUUUUAUGAUAUUUUAGAAUUUAUGGGUUUUAUUGAUUUUGAUAAAUUGGAGCAUUUCUCCAUUCAUCUUUUCUGCAUCUAUCCCUAAAUUUCUUAUCUUUGUAAAGUUUUAACUAUGUCUUUGUAAAGUUCUAAAUGAUUAUCUCGUUCAUAGAGAUCUAUAGUUAAAUUAAUUCUUGUAUUUAUAAUCAUUUGUCUCCUUUGAGACAUAGACCAAAUUUUUUCUUCUAACAUUCCUAUGUAUAUUCCUAAGCUAUAUUUCCAGCUUAGGUACAUCUUAUCUAGGAUUUCACAAAUAAAUUGUAAUUUGAGAUCUGCAUCUUGAAUCAACAUCACCAUAUUAUUAUUAUUAUUAUUAUUAUUAUUAUUAUCCAUUGUUUUAUACUCGAUUUUGGGUUCUAUUACUAGUCGCACUUGUCUUGGAUUAUUUCAAGGCUAGAUAGAAUUGAUUCUAUUAAUGCUAUCCUGUUUCCUUCUUCAAAUGAAUCGAAUAUUUUUGGAUCAAUAAUUCUUUUCAUUUCUUCAUACAAGUGUUUGCUUGUAAUUAAUCUAGUUUUAACUAUGGAAAUUGUAUAAGCAACUUGAUAUUCUUGACUAAAGUCUAGAUGAUCAAUUGCGUCUAGAAAUUUAUUAACAGAUCUUUCCAUUUUUAUGAAAUUGAGUUACUUUUAUCACUUCCUAUCUUAUAACAUUUCAGAAUACAAACAAGGCCCAACAUGCUUCCAUUUGUUGCUAAAAUAAAAGAAUAGAGUUCAAGAUUACUAACCAGUGUACAUUUCUCGGAAUUCUAAGAUAGAUUCACUAAUUGCCUCCAACCAUAGAGAGGUCUAUGGUUAACUCCGCCAUAGCUCCACACAUCAUAUAAGAUCACUUCAACGACUGUUACAUAGGCCCAACGCAACAUAUAGCAAACGGGCCUAAAAGAAUAUGUCUAAGUGAUUUGCUUACAGCUGUCUCUGGAAGAGUGCUUAGUAGUAGAAAAUCUUCUUCCUUUAGCACAAGUAUUGGCAUGUAAGGUUCUUGGUUAUUUUCUAAGAGUAUAUAAGAUAUCUGGAAGAUGACAAUUUCGCUCAAAAGAGUUUUAUUUAUUUCAUCAUUGAAAUUAUUUACAGAGGAUGGUUACAGAGAAUACAGGUGUAGGUGUAGGUGUAGGUGUAGGUGUAGGUGUAGGUGAAGGUUAGGCAUGUGAUGUCCUUCCCUUCUUACAUGUUUCUAUUUAUAAUCUUAAAUAGAUAAGGUUAUCUCUUUUACAUGACACUUGUUUAAUUCUCUUGGUGGAUUGUGGAUUCUUUCCUGAUAAGGUGACCCUUCUUCUUUUUAUCAUUAAAGACAGUGGUUGUCUUCUUUUCCUGGUGGUAGACAGCCUUUAUCUGGUUGUAGUGUGCUUUAUCUUUUUGGAAUCUUUCUUUUUGAAUUAUUAAUGCUUUUAGGAUAGCACCUUUUAUCUUUUCCAAUGGUUCCUGUCACAUGCCAAGUAUCAAAUCUUCCUCUAGUGACAUGUCUUCCCCACUAGAAUCCUUUUUUGAUCCUUCGUAGCAGUAGCCACAUGAUGACUGAUGUUUUAGCACCUUGCAUACCUCGUGAUGUGUCAGUAAGCUGGAUUCCACGAGAUUUUCAUAUAUUGCCUUUUUCUUUUUUGAUAUGGCCUGUCUGGCUAAAAUGCUUUCUUUUCUACUUAUAGAAAAGAUUAUAUGCUCCUUUGUGGCUUCGUGGAGCCAUAUUUUUUCCUCACUUAUCCUCUCAAGAGAUUCAUAGAGGACUUUCAUUCCUACGGCUCUUUUGCUGGUGAGAGCUUUGGGUUCGAAAAAUUCAGGAUCAUAAUCAUUAUAGACUUGAUCUAUAUCAAUAGUUGGACUAACUUUUUGCUGCUAAUUCUAACUUAAAUCAUGUGCUGUGCUACCACUUGUUUUCACCGUAUUAAGGGCAAGCAGUGAGGAUCUUGAUAAAAAUUAGUUCUUUUGUUUUGGAUAUCCUUUUGUGGUCAUUAACAGCCUCUGUAUUUUUUUCUAGGAGCUCUUUUAUUUUCCUACAAUCAUCACGGACAUAAACAAGGUUAAGAAAACCGUAUUCAAACAUGUCUUUUAUCAAUUUUGGAUAAGCUCCUAGCACAAAUUUUAUCCUUGGGUAUAACCCUGAAUGAUAUGGUAUUAUAGUCUGGUUAUGAUGAAUCACAUAAGUUAUUUUACCAAUUCUUUUAUAAUUAUAAGCGUUGUCGCUUCCUAAUGGAUUUUUAACCAUAGGAACAGACUGUCCGCUUUUAUUAUAUUGGGGCCUUAAGCUCACUGAAGACCUUUGAGAUUCUUCUUUCUUCAUAUAUUAUUCUUUGAGAUCAUUGAUUGUGAGAAAUUUCUCUAGAUGUGUGACCUUUGAGUUCUGUGAAGAACUCUGGGCAAUCUGAUCCUUAGUUUGAUCCUUAAAAUGGACCUUUUUUUAGCAUAUUACUAAUAGAUUGUUAUGAAAUUUGGACUUCUGGAUGAUUUUGCAAACUUUUCUAUAGGCAAAGUUUGCUCAAUUCUUCAUGGGCAUCAUCUAUCAUGGCAAGCCUAUUAUAAAUUAUACCAUUGCCUUUGAGAAGCAAUUCUUGACCUUCAGAGCACAUUAUUAUGCCCUUAAUUAUUUUGGAAAGACCCUUCUCCAUUGUAUUCUCGGCUAAGAAAAUUUGCAAUAGAAUUGUUAGAUCCUUUAAUAUAUUCAAUUUCAAAAUCAUAUUCAGCAAAAAAACCGUUGCCAUUUAAUUAAUCUUUUAUAUUAAGGGAGAUUAGGCAAUUUAUUAAAUAUAAAUCCUUUAACUCGAGUGUUAUCAGAUCUUACCUUGAAUUUCUUUGGUAACAAAAAAAAGUAAAUUUAGCUAUUCCAUUUUUAAUAGUUAACAGUUCAUUUUCAUUACUAUGAUAAUUCUUCUAUGCGGGUUUGAAUGUUCUGGUGGCAUAUCUACAAAUCUUUUCUUGAUCUGUUUUUAAGACUACACCCCAGUAAUUAUCUGAAGCAUCGGUCUCAAGAAUUAAAUUAUCACUAGAAGUAGGGAAUCCUAAUCUUGGAAGAUUUUUACAUUUUUCUUUCGAUUUUUUUACUACUUUGGUAUGGAGAUCUUUCCAUGAUUUAGUAUUAUUCUUUUUUAAUAAUCCUUGUAAAGAUUGUCUUUCUUUAGCUAAGUUUUCUAUGAAACCUUCAGCAUAAUUAAGAUAUCCUAAAAAUAUUUGAAUUUGUUCUUUAGAUUCUAAUUUAUUUGGGAAUAGAUAUAUUUUCCAAAAAUAUGAGGUUGCAUCUCAAUUCCUGUUUCAUCUAUUAUUAACCCUAGAAAUUCUAUCUUGAGUUUCAUUAUUUCAGCUUUCUUUUUAGGGAGUAAUAUUCCAUGUUUCUUGCAUUUCUCUGCAAAAGAAACGAGAUGAUUAAUAAGAUAUAUCUUAUUAUCUGAAAAUAUAAAAAUAUCAUCUAAAUAAACAAUGUAGAAUUCAUGAAAUUCUUUGAAGAUUUGAUCCAUCCUUCUUUCAAAUAUUUUUGGUGCAUUUUUCAAUCCAAAAGGCAUUACAAUCCAUUCAUAUUAUCCUUGAGGUGUACUAAAGGCAGUAAGUGGUAUACUUUCUACUUUAAGUUUGAUAUGUCAAAAUCCAGAUUUGCAAUCAAACUUGCUAAAUGUCUUUUUAUCGGUCACGGAGAUAAUUAAUGUAUCUUUAUAAGGUAAAAAAUAUCCAUUGAAUUUGGUAUAUUUAUUUAAUUCUUUGUAGUUAAUAACCAUGCGAGCUUUUCCUCAUUUAAUUUCUACAUGAUUUCUAACCAUAAAGGCUGGACUACUAUGAGGACUUUUAGAUUUCAAAUAAUCUUAAGUUCUAAUAACUCUUCAAUUUUUUUUAUCAAAUUCUUGUCCAUGUUCUUGCCCAUCUCUCAUAGGCUUAACUCUUAUGAUACCAUUUAGAUCUGUUAAUUCGAUCUUAGCAUAUGUUUAAUCAAUUUCUCAUAAUUGAAUUGGGUUUUCACCAAAAUUUUUAUCAAGUUUUUCUAAAAUUUUUUCAUAGUCUAACAUGAUUUGAAUGAUUUUUAUAGUGUAAUCAACACACUGACUGUGUCGAAAAUGUAAUUUUUGAGUUGUGCGCCUAACAAGGUUAUAAAUUCUCGGGGUAGUAAUGGAAUGAUUACAUGGUGUUUUGAGAGUAAUGGCUUCAUUAGUCAUUAUAUAAAUGAAUUGACGAAGGAAAUUAACUCCUAAAAGUAUAUAUGUUCCCAUAUGAUCAUAAGACCAGAAUAUAGGGAUACUUAAGAUGUAAUCUUCGAUUUGGAUUAAAGUCUUAAUCCUACAAGUCCCUAAGGUGAUCUGUUCAUCAUUUGUUCCUUAUCCUUUUAAAGGCUUAUAAUCUUUCCAAUAUGGUUUUGGAUAAAUCCUAGAACUGGCAAAACUAACUCCUAAACCAGUAUCGAUUAAAGCAUAAAACCAUUCCAGUUUAUGUUUAUAAUAUGGUAUAAUCACUUUUAUAUAAAUUAUAAAAGGAUUAGACAUAUCUUGAUAUGGUUUGCUUAAUUCCUUCAAUUGUUAUACUUAUUUCUCUAUCUCCUGUACAAUAAGGAGAGAAAUUCUAAAGAAAGUUCAUCCCUAAUAAUAAAGGAUUUAUUUCUGUUUCAUAAUAUGGUUCUAUGAAAAAAGGAAAGAUGAAUUUUGUUCCUUUUAUUUUUAAUGGUAUUUUACAAUAUUUUCUUAAUGUCUUUCUUUCUCUAUUAAAUCCUACAUAAGUAUGAGGUUCAAUUAGAAUUUUUCUUUCUAAAUAUUUAAUCAUUUUAGCAUCUACAUAAGAUUUUGUAGCUCAUGUAUCAAGGAUAGCAAAAGUCUCGUGCCAUGAUUUUCCAUUAUUAUAGUCAAUCUUAAUUUUUAGAUUUUGAUUAUUUUUUCUAAUUGUGGCUAAUAUUUCAUGUGAUGGUGGUGUCACAAGAUGACUACAUCUAGUAAAACUUUGGGUUCCUCUGAAUUUUGGUUCUCUUUUGGGUAUAGAGAAUGAUCUUUUAUGUCUUAUAAUGAUUCUUCCUUCUGGAGUAUAUUCUAUAGAUUUAGUAGUAUUUCCUUUAAUCAGAGUAGGUUGACUACUUAGAUUCAUUUUCCAUUCUUAUGAUAAAUAUAUUUCUCUCUGGAUUUCAGGAUAUUUUAUAUUUCUAACUUUACUAAAUAAUUUAUCUAUUUCAAUAAAAUAUUUAUUAGCAAACAUUUCACUAUUUGCUGAAUUUGUUAAUGCAUAUUUUAUGGCAUACAUUAUGCUAUAUGGAUAAGACCCCUCAUGCAUUAUAUCAAAGUAUUUAAAAUCAUGACAUAAGGUUAAUGUUUUAUUUAUAUUUCUAUCCCUAAGACUUAUAGAAUAUUUAGGAUAUAUCUUAAAUAUCAAUUUUUUAUAACUCAAGUUUCCUUGUAUUAUUCUAGGGACUGCAUGUUUUCGAUCUUGUAUUCUAUUAUCUAGUACUGCUAAAAUUAUUGGACUAUCUAUUCCUUCCCGAAAAUGAGCUUUUAUCAUAAACUGAAUUCCUCCAAUAUGAUCAUAUCCAAUUUUGGGUCUAUUGCUAGAUUUUAUCUUACUGAUUUUAUCUUCUAUAUCAGUCUUUAAUAAUAAUGGUAUAUUUGUAUUUCCCUUAGCAUACCUAAUUUCAAUAUGUUCUUCUCACACAGUAGCACUGAAAUACAUAACAUUUUUUCUUUUAAUCAUGGUGGCAAUUCCUAGAGCUAACUUAUUGACUGAAGUCAAGGAUGAUUCUAAUCAUUUUUUUGUUAAUCUUGAGGUAUUGUUUUUUUUUUUUAUCAAAGAUUAAUUCUUUGUUAAAAGAACCUUGUUCUUCUAAUUCUUCAUCUUGAUAUAAAUGCUUAUUAUCUAAUUCUUCUAUACUCAUUCCAAAUAUGAUUUUGAAUCUGAGCUACUUAAAGUUUCUUCAGAAAGAUAAUAUAUGCUAUCACUUUCACUAAUACCUUCACUAUCUGUGAUUAAUUCUAAAUCAUUAAAAUCCUCAAACAUUUUUAUAUUUUCUUUUUUCUUUUUAGGACAUUCAUUUGUAUAAUGCCCUUCUUCAUUACAUAACCACCACUUGCAUUCUUUAACUACAUUGGUUUUAAAUCUUCUUUUAAAUUUAUUUUUCUUGUAGAAUUUCUUCUUAUAUUUAUUUUUCUUGUAAUAUUUCUUGUUGCCUUUAAAGAAUCUCUUCUUUUUGAAUUUAUUCCUAUAUUUAUAAGUUUUAUCUGAACAUCCAAAUCUUGGUGGAUCUUCUAACUUAGAGCAAAACAAUCCUUGAUUUAGCCUUUUCAUAAGUCUGUUAUCUCUUAUUUCAGCACACCAUUCACUCAUUCUAUUUCGAGCAAACCUAAUCUUAUUUCCUAAGGUAUCAGUCUCUGUUGUAUCUUCAUAUUUGUUGUUAUAUUCUAGCAUAAUCCUUUUCUCCCAUGGGUCUGGUAUCCUUAUAAAAUAUAGAUCUUAGUAAUAGCAUAUGCUACUUUCAUCUAAUUCACAUUUAUAAUAUAAUUCUUCAAAGCUACACGUGUAUUCUUCUAAAUAACAUAUAUUACAUAUUUCAAGCCUUGUUAGUUUUAUUACAUUUUCCAUCUUUUUUUCACUUUAUUUCUUAUUGAAAACCAGUUUCUCAAUCUUCUCCUAGGAAUUUUUUUCUUAUUUCAUUUUCAAAUCUAUUUAAAACUUGAUCCAAGCUUUCAUUUUGAUUAUUAUUUUCUCCAUACAAUAUUUUAUUUUUGUUAUUAUCGUUUAGUCCCAUAAACGAAUGUGACACUAUUCCUACAAAUGAAGUUUUAAGGAAUUCUAUACUAUUAUUCCUAUCUAUUUUGUUAAAUACAAAUGCCGUUUUCAUAGAUUUAACCCAAGCGAUAAUCGUUUUAUCUCUAUCUUUGACAUAGUCUAAAUCUAACCAUACUCCAUCAUGGUUGAUUGGUCUCUCUCUAUAUUUUCCUGGAGUUUUAUAAUUUUUUUAGGCUUGUUAACCCUAAAAUAUUGAUGUUGUGAUCUUUCAUGAGCUAGUAUUUCUUCUCUAGUAUAGGAAGCUCUAUUACUAGAUUCUCCUUGUUAAAAAACCGUUGGUUUUGAUUCAUUCAUUUUUAAUUGUUCUAUUCUAUUUUCAAUAUCUCAUAAGUUAAUGAGUACAUCCUCUUCCUCUUCGGAUUUAGAUUCUUCAUUGGAUAUUUCUGGAUUGUAUAAUUCUUUUAAUCCAUUGUCUACAUUUUCACUUAGCAUCCUUAAACUUAUUAAUUUUUUAUCUUAGUUUUUUGUUAAAUAUUGUCUAGAUAUUGCUAUCAUUUCUUUAUCUUUCUUUUCGUUGUAGUAAAUUAUGGUGUCUUGUAAGGUUUUAUUUUUUUUUCUUGAAUUACCAUGAGUAAUUCUUCCAUAUUGUUAUUUAUCUUUUGUAUUUCAAUCCUUUUGUAGUUUUCUAUGAAAAAUUAUUUCUAUACACCUCUCUCCUAAUUCUAAAUAGGAGAAUAGGAUCGAUGUUUAAAUUUCUAUUCUUUAUUAUUUUGAGUUCUCCAAUUCUAAAUUCAUGAGCUCUAGAUAAAUAAAAUUGUUCUAAUUGUUUAUCAUCUAAUAUCUCAAGUUUUGAAUAAUAAUAUUGUUUAUGUUUAGUUAUGUUAUCCUUUAUAGUAUUACUAUCUACCAUUAGAUUAUAUCCCCUAUUAUUAAUAAAAUAAACAAUUGUUUCUUCCAUUUUUAUAUUUUGAACCAAAAAUCUGGUUCUGAUACCGUUUUUGCAGACAAUUUUCAAUCCUAAGAUCCAAGUAAGGAUGUAAAUGAUUAAUCUUUAAAAUCUUAUGAAUAUUUUACAAUUUUGCUUUUUUAAAACACACAGUUUUAUGCUAGGUGUUGUGCAAUCUUUUGUAAAAAUUCAUGAACCAAUACUAUAUUGACUUCUCCUAAAAUGCAUAGGUUUGUUAUGAAAUUCUAAGUGUACAACCCAAAAAGUGGGGUGAAUUGGGUUUUUAAAAAUUUAAGCAAUUAUAACCACACAAAAAUUUCAAUUAAUGUCUUAUUUGAUUCAAUAACAAUAAUUUUAACAAUGAAUAAAGUAAAGAGAUGAGGGAGAAGAGAGCAAACAUGAGAUUUUUACAUGGUUCAGCAAAACCUGCCUACGUUGACGCCUCCAAGCUCACUAUGCUUGAAGAUUUCACUAUCCAAGCAUUACAACCCUAAGGCUUCAAGAUGCUUACAAUUGAUUUCUAAGGUUUCCAUGGACCUUUACAUCCAGAGGUUCUCUCAAACCUCUUAACCAAGUGUUUCUCACACUUACAACCACUUAAUUGUGAUAUUGAAAAAAAGUUACACAAAUUUUCCACUCACACAAUAUAUGUGUUUACAACUAAAAGCCUAGAGUGUGUUUCAAUGAAAGAAUAAAAACAUUUAAGCUCAAGACAGAUUAAACAUGCAAAAGUAAGCUCAAUGCCAAUUUUUGAAUUCGUUAUUGAUUGAAUAUGAUUAAUCCUUUUGAUAGUUGGAGCUGAAAACUAGCCGUUAUUGACUUUCUGCACAAGGUCGGAUCAUCGUUAAUACUUAUCGGACUGCUGUUUUGACUUGAUCAAGUUACCGUUAGGCGAAAAUCUAAAUUUUCGGAUCACCAUUUUCGAGACAUUGAAUUGUUGUUAGUUUCUAGUAACAUUGCGAGAAAAUAGUUGGCUUACCGUUUUCAAAAUGUCAUAUCGUCGUUAGUUUCCAAAUCCAUUCGAUGUCGGUUAGCCAUUUGCUACAUUAACUGCUACAUUGAAACUAUUUUUUAAAAUUAUAUUUUUGCCAUGCUUUCUAUAAUUAUACUGUAGCCCAAAUCUUCAUAAUACUUUACAAAUAGGUCCAUUUUCAGAGUUUCAAAACAUACUUUUUAUUUCCAAAACUUUAUGAAAUUAUACUAUAACCCAAAAAUAUAUAAAAUAUUUCAAAUAGGUUCAUUUCUAGAAUUUUAAAACAAUACUUGUUGAUUUCAAAGUUCUCAAAACUUUUUAAAUUUAGAGCAUUAACUUCAAAAUAACCAAUUUCAUAAAAUCAUUUUUUUCAUUAAGAUUUAUGAAAAAUGACUUGAGCUUUUAAAUGCUUAAGCAUGCAUAUAUUUAAUCAUACUAGCUUUACAAGAAAUGUAACAAGAGAAAUCACCUAAGCUAGUACCUCUAAUGCUUGUUCUUGACUUAGUGAGCUUUUUACCUUCGUCUAUUUGAGUGCCUUGAACUUGAUCACACACACACACACACACACACACACACACACACACACACACAUAUAUAUAUAUAUAUAUAUAUAUAUAUAUAUAUAUAUAUAUAUCAUUUUAUCCUUUUAUCCUUAACACGUGGUUUGUUAUUAUCAAAACCCAAGUUCGUACAACCGCUUAGGCCAACAUGUUACUCCCAAUCAAUUGACUUCUGACAUGACUACUUCCAAAAUGGCUAGUACCAAAAGGGAAUCCUUCUGGGAUGAGAAUUGAAAAACAUGCCUCUUCUAGCACUAAAAUUACUCCUUCCACCUAUAUUUCCACUAUAAUGUCCUUAAAAUCCUCCGGCAUAUCCACCUCUUUUAGUAUUGCCUCCUAUUUGUGCAUGAUAGUAAUUAAUUAUGCCAUAGUUAUUAUGGUUAGCAAAGUUAGCACAAUUUGCAUUGAAUAUGUGUUUUUCAUUAUGACUUUGUUCAAGUCUUGCCUCUUGAGUAAGCAAUAGAGCAUACGCACCAUCAUAAUAUAACUUGCUAGCAGUAAUAAAAGUAGAUAAAUGCAGAUGGCUAGCUCCAAAACUAUUGAGAAUUUGUUAAACAUAUCUUUAUCAGAAAUAGGACUACCAACACAUGUCAAUUUAUCUGCUAUUUAUUUAAUCUUUAAGCAAUACUCUUCUAUGCUUAGUGACUUUUUUUCUCAAAGCAUUCAUCUCAUAUCUCAUUUGAAGAAUCCUACCCUCAUAAUGUUGCCUAAACUUUUUCUGUAAUGUUUUUCAUACAUCAAGUAAGGUGUUAUAAGAAUGAACAAGACCGAGAAUACCUUCAGUGAUAGAGCUGAGUAACUAGCUAAGUAAUGUGUGAUCUUGAGAUCUCCAAACAAUGAACUCAGGAUUUUCAAUCUGUUAAGUAGAUGCAGCAACUGCUCUAGCAUAGCUGAUGAAUCAAUGAAUUGAUUUGGUGCUUCAUUUUCUCUAGUUAUGUAUCCUUCGGUUUCCUCUUAUAAAAGCUAGAACUUGAUUUUGCCACAGCAUGUAAUUUGAUCAAUCGAAUGUGAUUGGAGUGAUGAAACAGAAUGUUGUUUGCAUUGAUUGAUUUGUAGAGAUUGCAAUUGAAUUUGUGCUUACAUUGCUUGAGCUUGCCAUUUUGGCUCAGAUACCAUGAAUAAAUUAUUGGAAGUUGAGUUAUAGUUGCUGUUUAACAGCUGAGAAAAUAGAGGAAAAUUCUCUGGAAAUUCUAAAUGUUUCCUAUUGAGCAAACGAAAGAUUAACAUACUAUAUAUAUACAAGUUUCUAAAUUGUUUCUAGCUAAUUUACAGUACAGCUAAUCAAUAGAUUUGAUCCAAAGUAAAACUAAUUAGUUUCACACAUAAGGAGCACGUGAAUCCAUCAUCGUUGCAUAAUCGAACAUGUUGACUUAGCUGCUGACUUGGCAUUGACAGCUGAUUUGCUUCUUUUUUGUAACUCUGGAUAGUGUGCUUUCUUCACAAGUUUCCCCAAAUCUCCAUUAUGUACAGCUUCUGCAAAAAUUUCCUAACCAAACCAUUUAUUUGUAAUUUCCUCUUGUGUUGGCCCUAUGCCAUCAUCAAGUGGUACCGUGAGAGGAUUUCCAUCUAGAUUACCCUGAUCUUUGUCUGAAUCAUAACUAGUAUGCAUAGUGUUUUCAUCCUCAUCACCCUGCGCAGCCAAAACAAAAUGCUUAACAUUACAUAUACAGUAAAACCUCUCUAUAGUCAUAUUGUUGGGAUUAAACUAAUUUUAUUAAUAUGAAGAUGUUAUAAACUUAAUGGAAAUUCAGUGACAAAUCUAUUGAUUAGCUGUGCUACUUUGAUAAUUAAUUAAUGAAGCAUGUCAAAUCUAAUGCAUUGACAUUGAUAAAAGAGGUAAACAUAUAAUUUAAAAAACUAGUACUUAUAUCUAUCAUCUGUGUAGUAUUGGGAACAUGCAAAGUCUUCUUAUUGAAAAUCUAAAGAAUAAAUUAUUAUCCAAAAUAAUUUCAGAAAAAUAUUAUAUUUCAUCUUAAAUCUUUCAUGUAACAUAGCAAAUUUUUUUUUUUUUUGCUCAAUAUACAUAUUAGUAAUACUGUGUGGAUGCGUGUUCCUUAAGAUAUGCUCUAUAAAAGUUGUUAACUUAUUACAAUGUGAAGUUUGUUCUUAUUUAUAAUUGGCUUAAAGCAGGAAUAAGAUUUUUUGUGACUAUUGGACGUUGUUCUUAUAAAAUGUAUCACUACAGAGAGAUUUUAUUAUAAUUCUAAACCGAGAAAAGAAAGUGUAAUCCUAAUAAAUCACCAUCGAUUAGAGCUAUAAUGAAUUAAGCUUUACAAAGAAGAAGAAGAAAGAUUACAAUGUGAAGGCAACAAGAAUCAUGACAAAGUGAGAAAAAGAGAGGCCACAUAAGCCCCAAGGGAAAUUGAGAUUUUAUAACACAGCCUAAUUGCAGAAAGCAUAGGCGAAAAACAGGUGCUUGAUUGCAAACAUGCACACGCGCGCGCGCACACACAAUUUGACCACAAAGACCGCAUACCUUUGAGAGUUGGUCCUCUGGGGCAUAGGCAUUUUUCGCACGUUUUCGUGCUUCCUCCUUUUAUGGCCACGUAGUUUUCGUAAGCUUGAUCAAGAAACUCCUCCAAUUGUUCAUCAUACCUAACACCAAAAAAAUGUCAUAAGAUCACAAAGGCAUAAGUUGAUAGAUAUAUUUGUCAAGAUAAUGCGACAGAAGAUAUAGGUAGAAAAGAAUUACUUUCUGCAUUCUUUAUCAGAGUCACUGUCACUGGACAAUUGCUCUUGAGUGUCUCUAUCGGGUCUCUCAUCUUCACAGCCCUCUGCAGUAGCAUUCUCAUCAUCAUCAUCAUAUUCAACAGCAGCAAGAUCUUUUUUACCCUAAACCGAUCAUUCAAGUUUAUAAAAGAAUGAGAUACUUGCCUUAGACCACACUUUUGAAUUGGAAAAAACUAAUAAAUCAAAAUUGCAACUAAUAUUGUCCUACCCAGCCAUUUUUCAUUUAUCCUGAUGUCAAGUACACUACAAUCGAUGAGUACCUCAGUCAGUUUGCGUAACCCUUCUCUGUUGAGUUGUAGCUUGCAGGAUAUUGGGAAAUAAAUAAUUGGCUUGUUGCCAUCUUUGGUUUGUAUCUGUAAACAUUAUGGUUGUUGGCCUUACCUUCUUUUGGUUUUCUAUGGAAUUUGUAGCACCAUAUUUUGUCCACUAUGUCAGUACACCAGUGAUUAAACAAAGUAGUCUCAUGUGCUUGAUCUAAAAAUAAUUAUAAAGUCACCAUGUGGUUGAUCUAAAGAUAAUUAUAAAGUCACAAACACAGAAAAAUUAAAAGUAAUUCAUAAACAUUUGUCAUGUGAAAUUUACUUAAUGGAAGAGAAAUUCUAGGAAACAACUUUAUGGUGAGAAAACUCUAAAAAUCAAACCGAAAGAUAUAUAAUAAAUAAUUUUAUAAGAAUUAGGCUAUGUUUCAAAUAAUAUCACAUAUAGUAAAUUUAUGAGUUGUCGCUCAUCAUAACUCAAUUGUUUCACAUAUUGUAAUUCUUUAAUUUUGAAUAACAACAUAUGUUUCAUAAGAUUUAAAAUGGUAUGACUCAUUUUAUAAUAUUUUUAACUGAAUUGAAAUUCUGCAACUAUAAAAAUUGAAAAGAAUGAACUUGGCGGUAUUACGCUUAUAGUAUUGUUUCUUAUGGUGAACCAAAAGCAAGCCAAAAUUACGCUUACAUCAUCUUACUCUACCGUAAAACUUAUUUAUAAUCAUAACGGUAACACUAAAUUAAUUUUAUUACUGUGAGAGUUUAAUAUUUAAUAGAGGUGUAGUUACAAAAAUUAUUAUUUUAACUUAAUUAUUUUUUGUGCAAGUGAUAUAGCGAUAAAAUAUGCACUAUAUUAAUAACUAAUUAAUACAGCAUGUCAAAUUCAAUGUACUAACAAUGAUGAAAAAGAUAGGCAUAGUUUGAAAAAAACUAGUACAUAUAUCUUUAUAGUGCUGGAAUUAUGUAAAAUCAUCUUGAAAGUCUAAAGAAUAAAUGAUUGUACAAAAUAAUUUUAGAAAAAUAUUUUACUUCAUCUUAAACCUUUAACAUAAUAAGGGAUAUAUUUUUUACAAUAUACCGAUAAUUAUUACUAUUAGAGGUAACUUUCUUAAAACCGGAUUUAAAAAAAUUAUAAUUUAUCAUAAUAUAGAGUUUAUUCUUAUUUAUAAUUAUUAGGCUUGAUAAUCGACUGGGUCGUGUUUGGGCCAUGCCAAGCUCUAGCCCAACUAGGGGUGGCAAAACGAAUAAACGAAUCGAAUUUGAAUCGAAUCGUAAACGAAUUGGGUCAAAAUUAUAUGGAUUCGGAUUCGAUUCGUUUAUUAAACGAAUUGAAAUUUCAGGAUUCAGAUUCGAUUCGGUUAUUAAACAAAUAUUCGGUUCAAUUCGUUUAAUUCGUUUAAUAGAAUUGAUAAACGAAUCGAAUCGAAUCCGGAUUCGUUUAUUAUUCGCUUAUCCUUUACGAAUCCAUAACGAAUCGAAUCGAAUCAGGAUUCGUUUACAAUUCAUUUAGAAAAAUAUAAUUAAUAAACAAAAUUAAGCAAAAAAAACACAAAUUUAAUAUCCCACAACAAAAUACAAAUAAUUCAAAUCAUAUUAUACAGUCAUCCAAAUACUAAAUUACAAAUCCUUAAUAUUACAAAUAACAAUAAUUCAAAUUCAAAUUAUAAAGAAAUGUAAUUUCUUUAAUUCUCUUCAUUUGUCUUUGUCGCCUUGAAAACAAAAAUCCUACACCAAAAAGUAAAUAAAAUGUUAUUAACAUGCUGCAAUAUUGAUAAUAGUCAUUGUAAAAUUUCAAAAAUCAAAUAUAUAGCAAAUUUGUAGCAUUUUCAAGAAAAUAAUAAUUAAACAAGAUAAAAACUUUACCUACCACACUCACACACUGUCAUUUGGAUCAUUGGCACUCUCUGCAGAUGGAGCACAAUUAGUGCUCAUGUUCAUAAUGUUUUGAGUAAGUUGGUCCACAGUGACAUCCAAAUUUUCUACAAUAAUUUUAUAAAAAUAAAUCUUAAUUAGAAACAAUUGCACAUAAUAUUAUAAAAGAAAAGUAAAUAAAUUUUAUGAGCAAGUUUUACCAAUCUCUCCAAACUUCCAAUCUCUAGUAGUAAUAAUUGCUUGAACUAUCUCUAGUAGUAAUAAUUACUUGAACUGUCUCUGGCUUCAAUACACUUCAAAAUUGAUCAAGAACUCAACCGCCAAACAACAACAAAACAACAGUAAAACAGCAACAAAAUAGCAGCAAAAUAGUAGUAAAACAACAACAAAAUAUCAGUAAAAUAGCAGUAAAACAACAACAAAAUAGUGGAAAAAUAACAAAAAAAAUGGUAGCGAAACAGCAGCCAAACAACAGCAGUAAAACAGCAGCGAAACAGCAGUAAAACGACAGUAAAAUAGCAGUAAAUCAGCAACAAAACAACAGCAAAACAGUAAUAAAACAGCAACAAAACAGCAACAAAACAACAGCAAAACGGUAAUAAAACAGCAAUAAAAGGCAAAUUUUCAGUGGUGUACCGUGAUGGUGGGUAGUUAGCGCGGCGGGAAGUGGUGCUGGGGAUGAAAACCUUCAAAUUUUAAAAAGCUUUCAAAUAAAUUUAAGGAUAAAAAAGUAAUUUAAUUAAACGAAUAAUAAACUAAUCGACCCGUAUUCGAUUGGUUUAUGACCGAUUUAUUAAACGAAUAAACGAAUCAAAAUUUUCAAACCUGCAUUCGAUUCGUUUAAUUAACGAAUCGAAUCGAAUUCACCCAUUUAUUAAACGAAUCAAUUUUUUCAAACUCAAACCCAUUUAAUUUGCAUCGAAUCGAAUCAAAUAAACGAAUCCUGACCCAUAUUGCCACCCCUGCCCAACCCUAUGAUUAAAAUGAAGGACUCUAAUACUAAAAAGCUUGACCCUUCAAACUAAAGAACAACCUGGCUUUAAUAAUUUUUUUAUAUUUUAUUUUUUUUUUUAAGAAUAUGACUCCUAUUCUUCAUUCUUUAGUAAUAUUAUUAUUAUUAUUAUUGUUCCUUUUUUUUGUUGGAUUUGUUUGUAAGGAAUUUAAUAAAUUAUUUUUUAUUUAACUUAACAACAAUAGAACGUUUAACAAUCUAACAAAAUUAAUAUAUUAACCAAGCAAUAGGUAAAUAAAUCAAAUACAAAAUAACAAAAUUAAUAUGAAAUAGAGAUAAAUAUCCCUAAAGUGUAGUUGUGACCAUCUAUGUGUAUGUGUGUUUAAUAAUAUUUUUAUUUUAAAAAUUAAUUUAAAGAUCAAGAGUUGAGUUAAAACAUUUUGGUAAAACUUUAACCCUAACCCAAAUGUAAUUAGGUCCUGAUUCCUUAAGCCCUAACCCAACGUUUAACCUUUCAAAUUCGAGUCAAAACCAUUAAAAUUAAGAUCGAAUCAAUCAAGUCGAGGGUCGGAUAAAACCUUUUUGUCAUCCUAAAAAUUACCCUAAAUUAAAAUCAAAAUUUUUUAAAAUUAUAUAAAAAUUAUUCUUAUACACAGUAACAAUAUACGACCCAACAAGAAAUGAACCUGGACGCAUUAGGGCUUUGAUCCACAAACAAACUUUCAAAACCCUCUUAGACCUCAAGAGCAUUUUAGUCCAUUUAAUCAAAAGUAAAAGUGCGGCUACCAGCUAACUCUCCGGAAUUGAACUGAACGAGUUUCAGAAAUGGCAUCGAAAAGCAAGAUUCUAUCCAUCGGCGGGACAGGGUAUAUCGGUAAAUUCAUCGUGGAAGCUAGCGUGAAAGCCGGCCACCCGACGUUCGUGCUCGUGAGGGAAUCCACAGUCUCUGGUCCUUCCAAAUCUCAGCUCCUCGACCACUUCAAAAACCUCGGCGUCAAUUUCCUUGUCGUGAGUUAUCAAUUUUUUUUUUCAUUUUUUUAAUUCCAAAUUUUGACACGUGGCGGUGUAGCCUCUACUUGAUAGACUUGGUUUUUUUUUUUAAUUUAAUUUUUGUGGGUGCUGUUAUUAUUAUGCAGGGAGAUGUUUUGAAUCACGAGAGUUUGGUGAAGGCGAUAAAACAAGUGGACGUGGUGAUAUCAACAGUUGGUCACACUUUAAUAGCCGAUCAGGUCAAGAUUAUUGCUGCCAUUAAAGAAGCCGGUAACGUUAAGGUAUGACAUAAUUAAUGUAAAUGUCUUAGAUUCCGAUCAGGAUUGUGCACUCGUGCACACGUGGUGAUUUAUUCUUCGUGUGGAGCUCGCUGUAGAGUAGAGCUCCCAGUUCCGCUAAUAAACACCCGUCACAUGCGCAAUUGCGCCUCAAAAUAAUUUAAUUAAUUAAUUAGGUAUAAACACCGAUGGCAUGAAAGCAAUUAAAAUUAGUUGAUGUUUAUAAAUUAUUUAUUACUCAGAGAUUCUUCCCAUCGGAAUUUGGAAAUGAUGUUGAUCGAGUCCAUGGCGCCGUGGAGCCAACAAAAUCGACGUAUGACGUAAAGGCGAACAUCCGCCGAGCCGUUGAGGCAGAAGGCAUUCCGUACACGUACGUAGAAUCUUAUUUUUUUGAUGGCUACUUCCUCCCUAAUUUGUUGCAGCCUGGGGCCACUGCCCCCCCUAGGGAUAAGGUUGUCAUCUUCGGCGAUGGAAAUCCAAAAGGUAACAUAAUUUAAUUAAGCUCUGUUUGUUUGGUAUGUAUUUCGGUGUUAAUGUUAUUGUCUGUUGUACAAUGGAUGGUCUUGCUUGGUACUGUUGUUGGAGAGCUGCAGUGUUUUGAUAAACACCUCUAUCCUUAGCUUUCAAGUUAAGUUGAUUUUAUACAACACUUGUUUAAUUAAAAACUUGUAAUAUUCUUACUACUUUGAUAAAAAAAAUAUUACGAUUAAAGUAUUAAUGGCACCAUAAUACGAAGUGAAUCUUAAGUGGUCAUUAUAGAUUUUAAGAUAGAGUUUUAAGUGAUUACCAGAUACUUUAGCUGCUGAACCGCCACAUCAUGGUUGCCACACAACAAUUUCAAACAGAGCCUAAAUAACUUCAUUGCAAAACAGUUAAAUGAAUCUAACUUAGUUUCGUCGUUUGAUUUUCAGCUGUUUUUAACAAGGAAGAUGAUAUUGGAACCUACACUAUCAAAGCGGUUGAUGAUCCGAGAACCUUGAACAAAAACUUUUACAUUCAGCCUCCCGGUAAUAUUUACUCAUUCAAUGAUCUUGUGUCUCUGUGGGAGAGAAAGAUUGGUAAAACCCUCGAAAAGGAGUAUGUUUCAGAGGAGCAGCUCCUAAAGAAUAUUCAAGGUUGGUUAAAACUCUCUUUUUUAAAUGUAUUAAAGAGAGCCGUAUAUUCUCUGCCGUAAAUGUUAUUGAUCCUGUCUUCUCCAAAAUGUUGCAGAAGCUGCAUCUCCACACAAUUUUAUAUUAUCAAUUUAUCACUCUGCUUUCGUGAAGGGAGUUCAAACUAACUUCAAGAUUGAACCAUCUUUUGGAGUUGAAGCCUCGCAGCUUUAUCCUGAUGUCAAGUACACUACAGUUGAUGAGUACCUCAAUCAGUUUGUGUAACCCUUCUCUGUUUCCAGCUGCAGCUUGCAGGAUCUUGGACUGUUGGUAAAUAAAUAAUUGGCUUGUUGCCAUCUUUGGUUUUAUAUGUAAAAAUUAUGGUUGUUGGCCUUACUUUCUUCUGGUUGUCCAUGGAAUUUGUUAGACCAUAUUAUGUUUGCUAUGUCAGUGAUCAAAUGAAGUAGGCCAUGUACUUGAUUUGAGAGUAGUAGUUAUAAAGCCAUCAUGAUCAGGUGGGUGCGUAGGUUGGGCUUCUAUUAGGGUGCGUGUGUUGGGCUUCAGGGGCUUGUGAUAUGGGUUCGACAGCCCCUAACGGGCAGUCAUUAUAAAAAUAAUUAUAGAGUUACAAAUCUAUGUAAAAAGCAAAAAUUAAAAGUAAUUUAUCAAUAAAAAUAAUUAAAAUUAAUAAAAAGUAGGUAUGAUAAUUCAGAAAUUAAAUUAAAGAUAGAAUUCUAAAGAGUUGGAUAAUCCUCCAACUAAACUAAAGAUCUAGUACUUUUGAGAGCAAAUUUAAUUAAAGAAAAGGAUAAGGAAAAACAAUAGAAUAAUAAUAUUAAAAAAUUGCAAAUCUUGGUCUUUUUUUUUUACGAUGAUGUUGAAUUCUUAUAAAUUUAAUCUUAUCUAUAGAAUUAUUUAGUUACUGUAUGUCAAAAUUUCCUAUAAAGAUGAAGAAAAAUUAUAUUAGGAGAAGAUCCAAAUCCGUUUAACUGAUGCAUCAUCGACAACAUGAGUACAACAUUUUCGAAUAAACAAAAGAAACUCGUUUUAUGUGUGAACCAGUUCCAAAAUAAAGAGCAGACUAUUGGAAGGAGACAAAUACUACAAGAAGAACAAAACAUUCUACAAUUCCUACAUGAGCCCGCAACAAUUAAUUAUUAACUCGACAUUCAUUACACUUUUUCUUUAAUUUGACAAAGAAACCAAAAAUAAGAUAAAAUUGACUAAGAAAUAAAAAAAUGACAAAAAUCUUUUUGAAGUUUUGCCAGUUCAGCCAUGCACGCUUAUCUUUAUUCACUUGUUUCCUUUCUUUCCUUUCUUUCCUUUCUUUCCUUUCUUUGCUGAAGCCUUCACAGAUCCUUUACCUUUCUGAGCCUUGCCAAUUUUCCCCUUCUUCAAACCACCUGGCCUUGCUGGAUCCACGUGUCCUUGCAUCCUUUUUCAUUCGUGGAUCAACAAGAAUCUCCCCCUUUCCAGCUCUCUCUUGAACUCCUUGCUUUGCGACCAUGUAUUCUUUGGUAGGCCUUUUGGGUAUAGUUGUCUUGUAUAAUUGUUCAAUUUGAUUCCUCUUCGAACGAUCAGAGAUGUCCGCUUAGUCUGAUAUGACAUUUGCCUUCUUGCGAACCUUCUCAAGAUUUCGCAUGGCAACCCGUAUCUUUCGAGCUUUGGUCUUAGCCACCUUCUUGGCAGUAUGGGUGGGCGAUUCGAUUUUGGGAUAAACUUUUGGUUUCGUAUCGGUUUAGAUUAAAAAAUAAUAUAAAAAAAUAUUUAGAUUUUAAGGGAAAAAAUCCGAACCGAGACUCACCUAUCGAUUUUGGCUCGGUUUCAGUUCAGUUUUGAUUCUCCUAAUAGUUUUAUUUUGCCUUAUUGACUUCCGGUCAAUGACACUUUUGAAAAAUUUACAAAAAAAAAAAAAAUGGCCAUAACAAAAUUUCUAAAUGCAAAUAUUUCCUAAACAUUAGGCUAUACUAAAUUUUUUUAAAAGGUAGGGAUCCAAACGAUAUUAUCCCUCUACUUCAUCUUCAACCUUCGUCACUAGGGAUGGCAAAAUUCAGGUUCGGGUUCGGGUCCGGGUUUAGCCAUUCGGGAUCCGGACCCGGAUGAAUAUUUUCUGUAUCGGACCCGAAAAUAAACCCGCAUUUUUCCACUCCGAGUCUGGUACGGGUUCAACCCGAAAAAAUUCGGGUUCCCAGACUGCGGGUUUCCAACCCGAAUUGAUGAAUCCAAUUGAAAAAAAAAAACUAAAUUCAACUAAAAAAAUCAAAUAGAAAUACAUAUCCAGGAUUUUAGCAAAUCAAAGAAAAAUUAUUUCAUCUGGAAACUAAUUAACAAAAACAACAAUUUUGUUUGGCUGCCCAGAAUCAGCAACCCAAUGUGGCGGCUCGUUCAAAACAUUAGUGUUUUCAACAGAUUUUGGGGUAGGAAAAGCCAAACCUAUCUAGAACAAUGAAUUUGUAUUUUUGGGGGAGAUGAGAUACCUCACUGGUUUGUUGUGUGCGGUGCAGUGUAUCUGAAAUUUGGGGGAUGUGAGAAGGGGAGAGGGAGUGGUAACAAUGGUGAAAGGUCAAAACCAAUAGAGAUGUCCUUCAAAAUGAGCUUCACACCUGUAAAACAGUGAAAUAAAGGUUAGAGGUGAAGCCGGGAUACCCCGGUGUUCACACUCCGAUGCUCAAGUUAGCAAACUCAAGCUUUUAUGACAAAGAGAACUGGCUAGCCCUCUGUAAAUUAGGGUUUAAGGUUCAAGGAAACCUAUUUUUUGGAAUGUGAGUGUUAAUGGUGAGUGAGAGACCUCUUCGAGAAUGAAACAUAGGCGCCUUUAUAUAUGGAGUACCUCAGCUGCCACAUGACGUACCCUUUUUUGGCUAACGUCAUUUUUCCUUUUUAUGAUUUUUGGGUCGUUAUGUGCAUGUUCGCGGGGUAUCUCAUCUUUUGGAAACGUGGCGCGCGCUGGAGAGUGGUCCAGGGUACCUCUGCAGUAGCUGUCGGGUAGGCAGCUGAAGACCACUGUCCUUGGGACAAUGUCCUUCACUUUUGGUAAAGGUGACAGGCGGUUGUCCCCCUUUUUAACACGACAUUUUUUAUUCCUAAUUAUGACAAAAUCGAAUAAUAUCUUUUAAGAGAUGGAGACGUUUCUCAUGGUGGAUAUUUUCAGAGGAUUCUCUUGCAUCUGAUCAGCCGGGUUCCUCCAGUUAUGCAGGGUACCUCUAAUUUUACGGGGUACCUCUAUUUGCGCAGGGUACCUUGAAUCAUGCUAGGUACCUUAGAUUAUGCGGGGUACCUCAUAUUGUGUGGGGUACCUCUAAUUGUGCGGGAUACCUCUAUUUGCGCUAGGUACCUUGAAUCAUGCUGGGUACCUCAGAUUGUGCGGGGUACCUCUAUUUGUGCAGGGUACCUUGAAUCAUGCUGGGCACCUCAGAUUGUGCGGGGUACCUUUAGUCAUGCGAGGUACUUUUAAUCAGGCCAGGUACCCUCUAAUUGUGCUGAGUACCUCUAAUCAUGCAGGGUACCUCUAAUCAUGCGGGGUACCUCUAAUCAGGCCGGGUACCUCAGAUUGUGCGGGGUACCUCUAUUUGCGCAGGGUACCUUGAAUCAUGCCGGGUAUCUCAGAUUGUGCGGGGUACCUCAAAUUGUGUGGGGUACCUCUAAUCGUGCGGGGUACCUCUAAUCAUGUCGGGUACCUCGGAUUGCACUGAAAUUAUUCCAUUCGUUGACACGUGGCGUUAUGCUAUCUUUCUUAUUUUUCCCCCAAACAACAUCCCUCUAGUUUCUUUUGGCAAGAAGUUUUGGAGGCAAAAGAAACUUACAUAAAAAGUAGGAGCGACACGUGGCGAUAUGAUGUUUAGCUCGAUGGAUAACUAAAUAGAGGGCGCCUCUAGGGGUACCCUGAGAACCCAAAAAGGGAAGAUGGGCUCCAUUUCCUCGGAAAUGGCUACCACUUUGGACAUGUUGGAAAUGAUAGAGCUAAUUGAUCAAAAAAAUUUCAUCUAUUUCUGGGGAAGAACACCAAAUACGGGUAGAGGGUAUCGUUAGGGUACCCCACCAUUAUCCAUAGUUUGUUUUCUAGUGACUGCCAUGUAUAAAUCGCUCUGGUGAAGGCUUCAAUACAUUCUUUGGGCAUUUAAGAAGCAAUUAUUUGAUUAUCUCGGGAUCCACCUUAUUUAAGGGUAUAUUUCCUUCAUGUGCUUCGAAGAAAAAAAUAAAAUCACAGGGCCUUCUUCCUUGUAACUUCAGAGGUACCAUCGACAGAAGAACAUAGUCGACAAUGCUUUUAAGCGUAUCAUGAUCGAGGAAUGGAGUGCUGAUCUGGGGUUGGUGGUGCCAAGAGUGGAGAAGAUGGUAGAUGAACCGGCUAUCUUGAAGGCGAUUAAUGAUAGCGGGGCUCCCAACACAUCUUGGUCUGAAAGCCCAUUGAGAUCAGCUGAGGUACCUCAGAUGAGGUAUCUAUAAGGUACCCCUGAUACUAACCCUUGUGUUUUUGCUACUUUUAGCACUUUAUUGAUCCCUUCAUCCUAAGGGAUGAAGUUGAAGAUAAAUAUCCUGUUGUAUAACCUUGUUCGACAUUACUGACAAGAUGUAUGGGGUACCUUGUUAGCCUAUAUGGCUAUAAAUAUUGAUUUUGAUGAUAACAAACCACAUGUAUUUAUUGAGUAAAGAUUUAUGAAUUGUGCUUUUAUAAUGAGAAAAUGAUGUUAUGGAAUUAAAUCUUUUUGAACUAAAAUGAAAGUAAUUUUAAAAUCUUUGAUAGUAUUUUAAAUUUCGGAUUUGUACAUAUUUGAAACUAUUUAAAUGUUUUUAGGUCAUUUUGUAAUUUCACAAAGUUUGGGCGAAGUCAUAAUUUCAUAAAGUUGUGGGAUUGAGAAAGCAUUAUCUAAAAUUAUGAAAUUGGACAUAUUUGCAAACGUUUAUAACGUUUUGGGCCAUACCACAGUUUUAUAAAGUUUUAGGGUCAAAUUGAAAAUAUUAGAAAAUUUUCACUGUAGCAGGUUACUGUAGCAAGCAGCUUACCGGAUUCAGAAAAUCAGAAAUCCGGAUUCGAGGCAGUAAGCAUCCAGAACCAAAACGGCUUACCGGAUUCCUGAAUCCGGCAAACCGGUUAGGCAAAAUUUUGAAUUUUGCCUUAACGGUAACAUAAAUCCGGCUUACCGAAUUCUAUAAAAUGGCAAACUGGAUAGCCUAGAAUGUGAGUAACGGCUAGUUUUCGAGCUCAAGCUAUAAGAACUCAAAUCCAACUCAUUUUGAAGCUCUCCAACAAGCAAGAACAAAAAGCACACGUGAUAUCUUGAGCCUUCAACUUGUAAAACACAAUUCAUUGAAUCAUUCAUUGUUCUUCAUCUUUGAAUAUCUACUCAUUGAGUGAGUUUCAUUGUAUCUUUCAUUUCUUCAAUUCAUUUGUAAGAGUUUGAGUGUGUGAGACACUUGAGUGAAGAGAUUGGGAGAUAAUCUCUUUGUUGUAAAGGUUUAUUGACACCUCGAAGUCAAUUGUAAUCGUUGAAGCCUUGGAAAGGCUUGGAUAGUGAAAUCCUCGAGCUUGGAUCGCUUGGAGGCGUGGACGUAGGCGGGGAUUACCGAACCACGUAAAAAUUCGUGUGUUUGUUUCUCUUCUCCCUUACUCUUUAAUUAUUGUACCAUUAUUGAACUUAUUACUUUCAAUUAUUGUUAAGACAUUAGAUUGCUUGUUGUGUGGAUUUGUUAGGAUAAUUUUUAAAAAUCCAAUUCACCCCCCUCUUGGGUUGCACACUUGUAUUUCAUACCUCAUGUACCCUAAUGCUUGGAUAUCCCUUGAGCUAUCUGUUACUUCAUGGCGGAAUAACCCAAUUGCAUCAAACAUAUGGCGAUUCUUCCAGAUAUGCUUGUCGCUUAUCUUAAGCUUUCUUAGGGUUCCUCCUGGUGUAUCUGAGGAAUAGCUUUCUGGCGUGGGGUACCCUUAAUCAGCGUAUGGUGAUUUUCAUAGAAAUGCUUGCCGCAAAUCUUCACAAAACUUGUUGCGGUUGCUUUUGAGAGAUUGUGCGGGGUACCUUGAAUCAUGCCGGGUAUCUCAGAUUGUGCGGGGUACCUCAAAUUGUAUGGGGUACCUCUAAUCGUGCGGGGUACCUCUAAUCAUGUCGGGUACCUCGGAUUGCAGUGAAGUUAUUCCAUUCGUUGACACGUGGCGUUCUGCUAUCUUUCCUAUUUUCCCCCAAACAAUUAGUAAAGAGAGCUAAAGAACUAGCUUUAGUUACGAGCAGAAAAUCAGAAGUCAAGGAGCAGCCAAAGCACUUUUAAUGGUGAUGGUAAAACUAGAGAGGUAAUGCAAAUAAGUUUACGUUGAUUGGAUAUUCAGAAGAAGUAAUACGCCAUUAAAAGCAACAAGUUUUCCAAAAAGCCAACAAAGACAGAGACCACCACACCACCCCGCACUGGAUGAAAAACGAUGAAAGCAUGAUAAGUGGCAUCGAGUAAGCCACGUUCUCUCUCUCUCUCUCUCUCACUCGCACUCGCACUCGCACUCGCACACACUGUUACUAAAAUGACCAAAAAUAAGAUUCCCAUCAAAAUAUUUUCGAGUAUCGUUCUUGAAAGUGGCGGCGGCUGAUGAUGAUGAACACAGCCGCGAUUGCGAUUGGCGAAGGCGGCGUUCUGCCCGUAUCACAGCUAGUUAUCGGUCGCGGCAGAAAAGAUAAUGAAACGACGGCUGAUGAUGAUGAUGAUGAUGUUGAACAGCCGCGAAUAUGGGUAAGUGAUGCGACGAUGAUUUGAUUUGAUGAAGAUGAGCUGAACAUGGAAUAAGAGAGGAAAUGUUUGUGCGGCUGGGAAAGUGUAAUGAACUGCUAGGGCACCAUUUGGGUUUUUUUGCUUUCCUAUUUAUAUUAAAAAUAAUUUUUAAAAAUUAAUAUAUAUCCGGGUUCGGGUUUUGGAUGUACGGGUUUACCUAGACCCGGACACAUGCGGAUUCAGCAGCACCGACCACCCACAGACUUGGAUUUGAUUACAAAGUUGGGACUUAGGAUUUGGGUUUGUGGCUGCCGAAACAGAAAGUGAGAGAGUAGAAAGUAGAGACUGAGAGUGGUGCAAACAUGUGUAAUUUUGUGUGUGUGUCUAUAUAUAUAUAAUGUGAAAUUACAAAAAUGCCAUUAUAUCAGUUCAAUUCGAAUUUUGUAACUUGUGAUCCGAAAACUGAACCAAACCGAACCAUUUGGUUUGGUAUUUAUAUAUUCAGGUUUUUAAUUUAAAAAAACUAAAUUGAAAUUGAAAGAACUAAACCGAACCGAAUUUUUUUUUUUUUUGUUUCGAUUCAAUUAUGCCCAUCCCUACUUAGUAGGCUGGGUAUCAAUUUCUUUGAAUUGUGCUUUCAUUGCAGUAAUCUCCUCCUUGGUAAUAGGUUUAAUUGCUUGCUGAUGCCACCUUUCCUCUAGUAACAACUAGUCUAACAAGCCAUCAUCGUCAAACAUGUACCUAUUAUAAGCAUCAUCCAGAAUUUGCUCUCUUUGCUUUUUGCUUAGUGUCUUCUUUGCACAAGCUAUUAUCUUAGCUUUUGUAUCAAUAUCUUUAUCUUUUGAUUCACCAGAGGAUGAAUCAUCACCGGAAUAGAGUGGUGAAGGCCCCAUAGAUUAGUGUGAUCAAGUUCUAGUGUAGUUUUGGUUUUGAUUUCAGUAUUAGGAAAAUGAAGCCUAUGAAAUUUACCAAGCUAACAUGCUUCACAAAAGUGCUUUAAUACUUGACUAUGAAUACUUGAAGAGGAUAAAUGAGGAUAAAUAAAUUUAAAUAUACAUUAGAUUUUGAGGGUUGGGAUGUCAAAACUUUUGGUGAAAAAGAGUUAGUACAAGCAUUUUUAUUGAGAUUGAAAACAUUUCUUAAGAUGAUCAAUACUAGUUACAAAAUUGGAAUGAAAAAAAAAAGGCAACAUAGACAAAGGUUUGUUUAUUUGAUUGUAAGAUAGAAAAGACUUGUAUUUAGGUUGUGGAAAGGAUUUGAGCAGCAAUUUAUACAACCUUUUCUCAGCAAAACCUUCCUCUUCAAUGAAUCCUUCACAAAACAAAUAGAUCCAAGAAAUUCGACAAAUAAAUUGUUGUCAAUGGUAAGUUUUGAAAUGCUCAAUAGAUUCUUUGUAAUGGAUGGAACAAACAGUACAUCCUUAAGUAAAAUAUGUCUUAUAUUAUCUUUUUUUAAUUCUUUUUAAAAAAAUAAGUGAAUAAUAGUAUGUCAAUCUCAAAUAUCAAUAUGUACAAUUUUUAUUUGUGUAAGAAUUUGCAUCCAAUAAUCAUCAAUACAUAAUUGUCUUUUAAUUGAAUGGUUCUCACCUCCCUUCCAAACUUUGAAAAGGUAAAAUAAGAUCAAUCAUGUCAGUGGCAAUUAAUAUAAAGAUUACUUUUCUUAUUUGUAGUAACGUCCUCUGAUUAUUUAGCUGAUUUUCAAGCUACACAUUUAUUCCAUUUGAUGUUGAUAUUAGUAAAAUUAAUGUAAUAUUUAAAAAGGAAAAAAAUCCGUCGAGCUAAAAGCCGAGUAUAAAAUUGAACCAGACCCAAACCAGAAACGCACGCCAACAACAUGUUUGCGUCAGUCGGCCCAUGCCCAUAAACCCACCAAGCCCGAUCCAAAUAGAAAAAUGAAUUGGACACCCGAGAUAGCAGAAACAGAUAAGUAACGGUCGUGCUAUCCCCAAUCUCAUAUCUUCAACGGUAUCCAGCCAACAUCUCAAAGUGUUCAAUUUUUUUUUAAGCCAAAAAAAAAUUCAAAAUUUUCAAGCGGAAUCUGGGAAGAUAGCGAUGAAAAGCAAGAUUCUGGUUAUCGGCGGAACCGGAUACAUCGGUAAGUACUUAAGGUGCGUUUGAAAUUGAGGUUGAGCAACUAUAACUUUAAAACUGCAGCACUAAAAUAUUUGGUAAACACUAAUUGUUGUAACUUAAAAGCUAUUUAAUAUAAUUUUUCACUUGUAUAAUAAAAAAUUUAUUAUCUUUAAUAAUUUUGUCAAAAUUAUUAUUUAAAAUAUAUACAGUAAGAGAGAUUGUAACAUUUUCAAUCUUUGGUUUGAUAUUCUGGAAGAAAACGAUUUGCCGUUUAUGGAGAAAACUGCUAACCGUUUAAUUUCAGAGAGCAUGUUUUCUAUUCUAGAGAAAACGGCUAACCGUUUGGAGAAAACGGCUAACCGUUUGGAGAAAAUGGCUAACCGUUUGGAGAAAACGGCUAACCGUUUAAUUCCAGAGAGCAUGUUUUCUGUUCUAGAGAAAAUGACUAACCGUUUGGAUAAAACGGCCAACCAUUAAUUACAGAGAGCAACUUAUUUGACAUUCUGGAAUAAAACGGCUCACCGUUAUUGAGAAAACGGCUAACCGUUUAUUUCCAGAGAGCGUGUUUUUGCGUCAACUGGAAAAACGGUUAGCAAGCUUAGAAAUUUCAAUUGUCAAUCGAUGCAAACUCAAACCAAAAGAGUGUUUUUUUGAAGAAGUACUAUUUUUAAUGGUUGUAUUCUUUCAAAUAAACAUCUUCUUUAUUAAAGAUAGACAAACUAUUAUAUCAUAAUUAGAUUUUGCAGGUUUCAUAUAUGUUCUGGAAAUACAAUCUUAUUUUUUAGAGAUUGUAUUCAGGAUUUGAUAUAUCUUAGGGGUAAUUUGCCAUUAAAACUCUAUAGCAAACCAAGAUUGGUGAGGGUAAAUAAAACCUUAAAGAAAAAUGUGCAAACACGUCUCAAAUCCUAAGAAAUUUUCUUUGUUCUUUGCCUCCAUAUUCUUAAAAUUUGAAAAUUCACCCAUCAAUCUUUAAGGUUUUAUUUUGAUGCAAAUAGAGGCUGAGAAGAGUUUGACGUCAUUUCUUAAUCCUAGUGUCCAUCUCGAUCGUUUUGAUGGAACAAAUUUCACUCGUUGGAAGGAAAAAUUGUUCUUUCUUCUUACUGUUCUUAAAGUGGCAUAUGUUCUUAAUCCGAAAUUGGAACCAUUUCCAGAACCAAGGGAAGAUGAUACCGAAGUUGUUAAGGCUGUAAGGAAACGUCGUGAAGAUGAUGAAUUGAUGUGCCGGGGUCACAUACUCAAUACGCGUUCUGACAGGUUAUAUGAUCUCUACAAUUUUAUGACUUCUUCGAUGGAAAUUUGGAAUGCUCUUGAGUACAAAUACAAAACGGAGAAAGAAGGUACUGACAAAUUCCUUGUCUCUAAAUAUUUUGAAUUUAUUAUGGUAGACACACAAUCCAUUCUUGAUCAAAUACAUGAGUUAUAAAUUAUUGUUGCUAAGCUUCGAGAGUUAAAAGUUAAAAUUUCUGAAUCAUUUCAAGUUGGGACUAUUAUUGCUAAAUUGCCUCAAAGUUGGAAUGAUUAUAGAAAGAAACUCCUUCAUAGUAAAGAGAACAUAACUUUAGAAGAAUUGCAAAAACACUUGGUAAUUGAAGAAGAGACUAGGUCUCGCGAAUCCAAGGAUAAACAUGAUUCUACUAAAGUUAAUGUUCUUGAAGCUAGUAAAUUCUCAAAGAAUUUUAAAGUCAAGAAUGACAAGAAAUUUAAGAGGUCCAGCACACAAAAGUUUUCUGGAAAUUGUUUCUUUUGUGGUAAGAAAGGUCAUCGCCAAAGUGAUUGCAGAUUCAAGAAAAAAAAAGAAGAAGUGAAUUCCUAUAAAGCUAAUGUUAUUGAAAACAAAUCUGAAAAGAUUUGUGCUAUGGUUUCUGAAAUACAAAUUGGCAUGAUUAUCGAAACCAAUAUGGCUGAAACUAAGUCCUAUGAUUGGUGGCUCGAUUCGGGUACAACAAUUCAUGUUUGUAAUGAUAAGAAAUUUUUAUUAUCAUACAAAGAAGAAACGGAAGGACAAAUGGUUCUCAUGGGGAACAAUAAUGCAGCCAUAGUAGCAGGGAAAUGAGUAGUUGAGAUCAACUUCACUUCUAGAAAGAAAGUCACAUUGUAUAAUGUCUUUCAUGUACCUUCCGUUAGGAAGAAUCUUAUUUCUGCUAGUUGUAUGUGUAAGCAUGGGCUUAAGAUUGUGCUUGAGGGUAAUACUUGUAUUAUCUCAAAGAAUGAAUUAUUUGUUGGGAAAGGGUAUUCUUGUGAUGGAAUGUACAAACUCAACAUUAAUAAUAAUAAUAUCAACUUAGCUUAUAUUGUUGAGUCUUGUGAUGUUUGGCAUGCUAAAUUAGCACAUUUGAAUUUUAGAUCUUUGAAAUACAUGUCUGAGCAUGGUUUGAUUAAUUGCAAUGAUGUUAAAGGUCAUAAGUGUGAAAUCUGCAUCCAAGCUAAAUUAACUAAGAAACAUUUUCUUAAAGCCGAACGAAAUACUCAAAUAUUGGAUUUAAUAUAUACCGAUAUUUGUGAGUAUAAUGGCGUUUUAACAAGAGGAGGUAAGAAGUACUUUAUCCCUUUUAUUGAUGAUUGUUCUAGAUACACUUAUAUGUAUUUACUUAGAACAAAAAAUGAAGCUUUUGAUAAAUUUAAAAUUUUCAAAGCUGAAGUUGAGAACCAAAAAGAUAAGAAAAUCAAAAUGGUUCGUAGUGAUAGAGGUGGUGAAUAUUUCUCAAUUGAAUUUAAUAAUUAUUGUGAAGAAUUUGGAAUUAUUCACCAAAGAUCAGCUCCAUUUACUCCUCAACAAAGUGGUUUGGCUGAAAGAAAGAAUAGGAUCUUCACGGAUAUGAUAAAUUCCAUGAUCCAUAAUGCAAAACUACCAAAUAAUUUGUGGGGGGAAGCAUUACUCACUGCAUGUCAUAUUCAUAACAGAAUUACAUCUUUGAAAACACAUAUAUCUCUUUAUGAAAUUUGGAAAGGAAGAAAACCAAACUUGAUGUAUUUAAGGGUCUAGGGUUGUUUAGCUUUUUAUAAAAUACAUGAUCCUAAAUCAUCAAAGUUAAGUGCUAGAUGUAUAAAGAGUGUUUUCGUAGGAUAUGCUGAAAAUUCUAAGGCUUAUAGGUUGUUAGAUUUAGAUUAUAAUGUGAUUGUGGAAUCUAGAGAUGUUGAAUUUAUUGAGAAUAAAUUUCAACAUGAUUCUAAUAUUGAAUUAGAAUCAAUUAUUGAUCAACCAUGUGUUAAUACUCCUGUUACCUCCACUAACAAUAAUAAAAGGAAAGAGUCUAUGACAUCUUUCGAACCAAUGAGGAGUCAACGUGAAAAGAAAGAAAAGAGUUUAGCUCCGGAUUUUAUUUCAUCACAAGCACUACUCUUCUUGGUUGAAGGGGAUAGAAAGAAUGUACUUAACAAAGUACCAUUAUUGUUAAAUAUUGAAAAAGAUCCAAAGACAUUUAGCGAAGCUAUGUCUUCUAGAGACGCUUCUUUUUAGAGAGAGGCGGUAAAUGAUGAAAUUGAUUCGAUUAUUUCGAAUCAAACAUGGGUCUUGGUUGAUCUUCCUCCAGGAUCUAAACCAAUUAGCAGCAAAUGGGUAUUUAGAAGAAAGUACAAUAGUGAUGGUUCUUUGCACACUUUUAAGGCUAGAUUAGUAGCCAAAGGGUUUAAGCAAAGAAAUGGUAUUGAUUAUUUCGAUACAUAUGCUUCGGUAGCAAGGUUAACUUCUAUAAGAGUGCUAUUUGCAAUUGCUUCAUUGAACAAUUUGUAUGUGCAUCUAAUGGAUGUUAAAACCGCUUUUCUUAAUGGUGAUCUUGAUGAAGAAAUCUAUAUGGAACAACCUGAGGGAUUUGUUUUACCAGGAAAUGAGAAAAAAGGUAUGCAAAUUAGUCAAAUCACUUUAUGGUUUAAAGCAAGCACCAAAACAAUGGCAUGAGAAGUUUGAUUCGGUAAUUUUAUCUCAUGGUUUUAAGCAUAAUAAUGCUGAUAAAUGUAUAUAUUUUAAAUUUACGAAUGAUUUUGGUGUGAUUAUAUGCUUGUAUGUUGAUGACUUGCUUAUCUUUGGGACAAAUAUGCAAGGAGUAGAUGAUACAAAGAAGUAUUUAACUUCACAAUUUAAGAUAAAAGAUCUUGGUGAAGUAGAUACUAUCUUAGGUGUCAAAGUGAAGAAACAUAGUGAGGGUUACUCGUUGUGUCAAUCUCAUUAUAUAGAGAAAGUGCUUCUUAAAUUCAAUUAUUUGAAAUUUAAAGAAGCUAAUACCCCAUAUGAUUCUAGUAUUAAAUUAUUAGAGAAUUCAGGCCGAGUAGUAGCACAACUAGAAUAUGCUAGUGCUAUUGGUAGCUUGAUGUAUGCUAUGCAUUGUACGAGGCCUGAUAUAGCAUUUGCAGUUUGCAAAAUGUCAAGAUUCACGAGUAACCCUAGUGUUGAACACUGGAAAGCAAUUGGUAGAAUACUUGGUUAUCUUAAAAGGACCAUUCAUUUGGGUUUAUUUUAUAAUGAUUAUCCUGAAGUACUGGAAGGAUAUUCAGAUGCUAGUUGGGUAACCAAUACAAGAGAUAAUAAAUCCACUUCUGGUUGGAUUUUUACAAUUGUUGGAGGAGCAGUUUCCUGGGCUUCAAAGAAACAAACGUACAUAACUCAUUCAACAAUGGAAAGUGAGUUUAUAGCACUCGCAGUUGCAAGCAAGGAAGUAGAAUGACUGAGAAAUUUGUUGUUUGAUAUAAUGUUAUGGCCACAACCGAUGCCAUAUAUUUCUUUGUACUGCGAUAGUGAAGCUACAUUGUCUAGAGCUUAUAAUAAAGUGUAUAAUGGAAAGUCUAGACAUAUUAGCUUGAGACAUGAAUAUGUGAAACAAUUAAUAGCAGAUGGUGUUAUUAAUAUUGUUUAUGUUAGGACUAAUAAGAACCUAGCGGAUCCUUUAAUAAAAGGUCUUACAAGAGACUUAGUUAAGGAUACAUCUUUUGGAAUGGGAUUGAAACCUUUAAAUAAUAAAGUCACCAACGACGAUAACCCAACUAUGUAGUAGUUGUACCGCUACUCCAUAGUUAAAUGGAUAAUAACAAGUUGUUGUUAUGUGACUGGUUUGGCACCGAGUAAUAAAUAAUCACAUUCGAGAUAUUCGGUGCAAAUAGCUACGAGGUUGAGGUUGAGUAUUUAUUCUUAAUGAAGUUCAAGUCUUAUAGUAGCUAAAGACAUGAUUUGAAACUUCACCUAAGUGAACAUAAGAAAUGGUGCCGUUUCUAACAAGAUCAUGGUUUAAUCUAGUAAAUGUUCAUGAAUUCAAGAUAGAGCACAAGGCCGGAAUAGUGCUAAAUAUUGGAACACAACUUUGAAAAUCUGGGAUAGCUUAUAUGUGAUGUAUCUCCGGUAUUUACUUAAGAGACAAAGUUUAAUGCUUAGCACAUUAUUGUCUUGUAAAUGCUUUGAAAUACACUCACUAAUUAAAGGUUAAAAUCGAAAGAUAUCUUUUUGUAUGUAUAAGUUUAUCAUUAAUAAAUAUGAAAAAUAUUACAAUCUAGUGGGGGAUUGUAAGAGAGAUUGUAACAUUUUCAAUCUUUCGUUUGAUAUUCUGGAAGAAAACGGUUUGCCGUUUAUGGAGAAAACGGCUAACUGUUUAAUUCCAAAUAGCAUGUUUUCUGUUCUAGAGAAAACGACUAACUAUUUGGAGAAAAUGGCUAACUGUUUAAUUCUAGAGAGCAUGUUUUCUGUUCUAGAGAAAGCGGCUAACCGUUUGGAUAAAACGACCAACCGUUAAUUACAGAGAGCAACUUAUUUGACAUUCUGGAAUAAAACGGCUCACCGUUAUUGAGAAAACGGCUAACCGUUUAUUUCCAGAAAGCGUGUUUUUGCGUCAAUUGGAAAAACGGUUAGCAAGCUUGGAAAUUUCAAUUGUCAAUCGAUGCAAACUCAAACCAAAAGAGUGUUUUUUUGAAGAAGUACAAUUUCUAAUGGUUGUAUUCUUUCAAAUAAACAUCUUCUUUAUUAAAGAUAGACAAACAAUUAGAUCAUAAUCAGAUUUUGCAGGUUUCAUAUAUGUUCUGGAAAUACAAUAGAUCAUAAUCAGAUUUUGCAGGUUUCAUAUAUGUUCUGGAAAUACAAUCUUAUUUGCUAGAGAUUGUAUUCAUGAUUUGAUAUAUCUUGGGGGUAAUUUACCAUUAAAACUCUAUAGCAAACCAAGAUUGGUGAGGACAAAUAAAACCUUAAAGGAAAGUGUGCAAACACGUCUCAAAUCCUAAGAAUUGUUUUUUGUUCUUUGCCUCCAUAUUCUUAAAAUUCGAAAAUUCACCCAUCAUAUACAUACUACAUAUUAUUAACUUUUGUUUUAUAACUAUAGUGUUUUUUUUUUACCGCAACUGUAGUUUAAAAACUACAGCACCUCAAUCCCAAACAAGACCUUAGUGGAAGCGAGCGCAAAAGCCGAUCACCCAACAUUCGCGCUUGUGAGAGACUCCACUCUCUCCACUCAUUCCAAAUCCAAAAUCCUCGACCGUUUCAAAAAUCUCGGCGUCAAUUUAGUUCUUGUGCGCCACUCUUUUAGCUUUCCAAUUUUCCCGCCAAUUUUCUUUUAUUGUGAUUAAUUAAUUAAUUAAUUAAUUAAAGUAAAGAUUUUAUAUUAUAAUUUUGUUUGCAGGGAGAUCUAUACAGCCAUGAGAGCUUGGUGAGUGCAAUAAAGCAAGUGGAUGUUAAGGUAAUGAUUAACUUAAGUAAAUGCGUUAACUAAUUACUUGGGAUUUUAAAUUCAAAUGCGUGAAUUGUUCUAAAAAAUGAUUUAUGUUUAUUAGUCAGAGAUUCUUUCCUUCAGAAUUUGGAAAUGAUGUUGAUCGCGUGCAUGCCGUUGAGCCAGCAAGAACAUCAUUUGCCACCAAGGCUAAAAUCCGCCGAGCUGUUGAGGCUGAAGGAAUUCCAUACACCUACGUAGCUUCCAAUUUCUUCGCUGGUUUGUAUCUUUCCAGUUUCUCACAGCCUGAAGCCACAGCUCCUCCAAGGGAUAAAGUGGUCAUCGUAGGUGAUCGAAAUGCAAAAGGCAAAGCGCUUCUGGAUACAUUUACUCUGUACACGCAAUGUGUGGUUACUGUUUGGGGAUAAAAAAGGAGAUUAAUUAAUAAAGAAAAUGAAAUUAUUGAGGGAUUUGCUGAAGAGUUGCGUGCACUCCUCAUUUUUCUCCACCACUCAUCUUACUUGCAAAAUGCAAUGACCAAACUAUCCUCGCCAAAGCCUAGACAUUUACUUGUGUUCAAAGGCCAUUUAAGAGAGACAAGUACAAAAAAUUAUAAAGGAUAGUGAGCAAAAGAAGAAAAUGGAAGGAGGGGAGAAUAAAAAAUGGGAGUGGGGCGUUAUCUAGGGAGGAUUUUUAUUUUUAUUUUUUUUCCUCUCUUCUCCAUGGCAUCUCUUUCUCUCUUUCUCCCACUAAGAAAUUCUUUCUUUUACACUCUAUUUUACUUUUAUUCAAAUUACACAAAAAACUUUUGGUUUUAAGGCAAUGUUUAUUAAGCCACGUGAAUUUGAAAAAGCAGGAAUAAGGGGAUGAUUUUAACACAUUAAUUCACCAACAUUAAUUGGAAAAGAUCAGUUGCCACUUCGAAUCAGAGUAAUUUCUUCGGCAAUAGCCAAAUAUUGAUAUUUGAUCUUGACACUGUAGUUAAAUCAAUGUAACUGGUUUUGUCAUUUGAUCCCCAGUAAUUUUUAACAAGGAAGACGAUAUUGGAAUUAAUUCUAUCAAAGCGGUGGAUGAUCCGAGAACACUGAACAAAAUACUUUACAUCAGACCCCGUUGCAAUAUCUACUCAUUUAAUGAUCUUGUGUCUCUGUGGGAGGAAAAGAUUGGCAAAGCCCUUGACAGGGUCUAUGUUACAGAGGAACAACUUCUGAAAAACAUUCAAGGUUAGUUAGAACUAUCACUUUAUCAAGUGCAUAGAUGUAACUGACCGAUAAUGGAAUUUUUUUUCCUUCUCCAAAAUGCGAUAGAAUCUAAUCGGUUUCAACAAUCUCAAGAACACCUAUUCAUGGUUGUGUUGUUUGAAAUCUGUAUGUAUCAGUUUUCUUUCUAGAUCUCAGAUUGCUCGCAAGGAUGUCAAGUUUUGAUGAUGCUUGCCUGUUUUCCUGUGUUUACAGAAGCUUCAUAUCCACUCAAUAUGAUAUUACCUAUUGGGCACUCUGCCUAUGUCCUGGGAGAUCAGACCAACUUCGAAAUUGAACCUUCAUUUGGAGUAGAGGCAACAGAGCUUUAUCCAGAUGUCAACUACACUACUGUGGAUGAGUACCUCAACCAGUUCAUAUAAACCUUCUGAGAUGAGCAGCAGGAUCCUAACAAAAAAUUGGGUGGUUUCCAUCCCUGAUUCUAUGGUAUAAAGAUAGCGGCUUUCCCUGCUUUUGCCAGUUCAAUGAAGUUUGUUAGAUGAUGUUAUUUAUACUAUACUAGCAAAGAUCAAGUUGCCUUUCUUGUCAAGAAGCCAAGCUCUGGCAUUGGUUUAUGCUAGUUUUUCAUGUUUAUUACUUUUUUUGCAUUCAAAAUGAUAAAACUGCAGAGGUUGUUGCAUGCACGUCAUUUGUUAGUAGGGGUAUCAAUUUAUGAACGUAUGAAGUAUCUCUUCUGCAACGGCAUCCUCCUUAACUGUCAGUAGGAUCACAAUAAGUCGACCAACCAUCUACCGUAUGGAUUAUCUAUAAAUUGAAAUUGGUGUGUAUUAUGGAUCUGUCACUCUGCUGUUUCUGUUUUCUUUUCUAUUUUUACCAAGAAAGAAACAUUGUUAAAACUGAAUGGUUGUUAUCUCGUCUUGUUGUAAUGUUGUGUAUGCUUUCUAGAAAAUAAUGAAGUGCCAAAUAUGAAAAUACUAGUGGCUACCUUACCAUCCUUAAUAAGUUGUCUGAUUGUCACCGUCAACAAUCACUCUCAGCAACUCAUAAUCCAUUUAAGCAUAUUAUAAAAUAAUCAAUUUUGUAUUUGCACCAACUUUUAGUUUUAAAUGACAAUUUCGUUGAUCCCCACACUUCUGUACUAAUCAAAUCCACUGAAACUGGACUUUUUUUUCUUUUUUUUUAUAAUUACAUCGAUUGCAUUGGCUAUUGCAGGGAAAAGACUGCCUCUACAGGGAACUAAACUUUCAGAAUUGUUCUUAUGAGGGUUUGAAUAUGCUCUCGUACUAGGUCAAUGGCCUAUUGGUUCGAGACCAUUCACAAAGAAAGAAAUGAGUUUUGCUUGUAUAAAUGAAAGAAAUCCAAAUGAUAACUAAUGUAUAGUGGUACAUGAGAAAAAUAAUUUCAGCCCGUGUAAAGUCAAAAAGAGAAAAUAUUAAAAGAAAGGAUAAUGUCAUUGAGUUCGGUGAAGUGAAAGAAAAUGAAAAACAUGGGAUUUAGUCAAACUUAGUGUCCCAAUCAGCAGAAAAAGGUUUUAGAAACUCACCUCAAGUUAAGCCAACUAUUAGGAGCUUUAUUUAAUCAUGACUUUCUAAUGUAUAGUACUCCAAUACUAAACGAGGGCUACCUCUACGCUUGCAAUUGUAAAUGAAAUUGAGUUCGUGACGCACAAUGAAGUGAGCAAAAUGAGUUGAGAUCUGAGAAUAUAUUAAAGAAAAUAUGAAUCAAUGAAUUUUGGUUAAAAAAAACAAAUGCUGGUUCUUCAAGACCUGCGUGUAUUGUGUAAGUUUUGUUAGGAGAAGGAAAGCAUUUUGGUCUAAAACGCACUAAAUCGGAUUCAUUUGCUUGAUAUCUAAUAAGGGUGAAUUAACCACUCGCCCACAGCAAUUCAAGUCCCAAAAAAAUUAUUGUGGGGGCUAAAUUUCUUCUUUAAUUAUAACAAAUAAUUGAGUGGAGGAUAAAAAUUUAGGCCAUGUAUAACAAUAACUAAUAUAAACUAGUCCUAAUAAUAGUAUAAUUGUAAAUAUCAGUUGUAGUCUCAUACAAUAUAAGUUUAUAGAUUAUAAUAUCGGCAUAAAAAGAAAAAUGAUAUCUGACGGUCAAUCAAUAAAAGGACAAAAACUUGGAGUAACAUACCACAAAGUCAAUGUAGCUGGACAGAUGAAUAUAAUAUGUAAACAAAUUUAAAUGGGAUAAUACCAUACGGUACAUACAUAACAUUUUAAAACUGAAUUAAAAAAAUAAAAUUAAAACUGAAUUGGAAUUCGUAUGUGUAUCCAGCUACCUUGCAACAGUUGUAAGGUACCCUAACUUUGCAACAAUUUCAUCCUUCGUGCAUUCGGUCACAAAGUCCAAAUUAGGCACGUUUAAGAAUCGAACUGAAAAACUAAAAAAAAAGAAUCCGGCGAUAUUUGCGAACCGGAAACGAGCCAGCGUUAUGCUUAUGUCAUUUCAGAGAUAUCAACAGUCGUGCUUUCAGUCCUUAAACCUCAAGGGCAUUUUCGUCCUUUCACUCAAGCGUGAAACUGCAUGUAAGAACUGCUUCGCUUACACGCUCCAUGCACAUUUAAAGGCACCACUGUCGGAUAAAAAAUAUCCAUCCAUUUGAUCAUUUCAAAACAAAACGAAAAAAAAAAUCUCAGUAAUUGAACUGAACGAGUCUCAGAAAUGGCAUCGAAAAGUAAGAUUCUAUUCAUCGGCGGGACAGGGUAUAUCGGUAAAUUCACUGUCGAAGCGAGCGUAAAAGCCGGCCACCCGACGUUCGUGCUCGUGAGAGAAUCCACAAUCUCUGGUCCUUCCAAAUCUCAACUCCUCGAUCACUUCAAAAACCUCGGCGUCAAUCUUGUCAUAGUGCGUUUUCAUUUUUCUCUUUUCUUUAUUUUUUAUUCCGAUCAUUUUUACACGUCGAAGUGUAGCAUCUACUACUUAAUAUACAUAAUGAUAUUAUUAUUUUUUAAUUUUUUUGGGUUGCUGUUAUUAUUAUACAGGGAGAUGUGUUGAAUCACGAGAGUUUGGUGAAGGCGAUAAAACAAGUGGACGCGGUGAUAUCAACAGUUGGUCACACUUUAAUAGCCGAUCAGGUCAAGAUUAUUGCUGCCAUUAAAGAAGCCGGUAACGUUAAGGUAUGACAUAAUUAAUGUAAAUGUCUUAGAUUUCGAUCAGGAUUGUGCACUCGUGCACACGUGGUGAUUUAUUCUUCGUGUGGAGCUCGCUGUAGAGUAGAGCUCCCAGUUCCGCUAAUAAACACCCGUCAGAUGCGCAAUUGCGCCUCAAAAUAAUUUAAUUAAUUAAUUAGGUAUAAACACCGAUGGCAUGAAAGCAAUUAAAAUUAGUUGAUGUUUAUAAAUUAUUUAUUACUCAGAGAUUCUUACCAUCGGAAUUUGGAAAUGAUGUUGAUCGAGUCGAAGGCGCCGUAGAGCCAACAAAAUCGACGUAUGACGUAAAGGCGAAAAUCCGCCGAGCCGUUGAGGCAGAAGGCAUUCCGUACACUUACGUAGAAUCUUAUUGUUUUGAUGGGUAUUUCCUCCCCAAUUUGUUGCAGCCUGAGGCCACUGCCCCCCCUAGGGAUAAGGUUGUCAUCUUAGGCGAUGGAAAUCCAAAAGGUAAUAUAAUUUAAUUAAGCUCUGUUUGUUUGGUAUGUAUUGCGGUGUUAAUGUUAUUGUCUGUUGUACAAUGGAUGGUCUUGCUUGGUACUGUUGUUGGAGAGCUGCAGUGUUUUGAUAAACACCUCUAUAGUCUAUCCUUAUCCUUAGCUUUCAAGUUAAGUUGAUUUUAUACAACACUUGUUUAAUUAAAAACUUGUAAUAUUCUUACUACUUUGAUAAAAAAAAUAUUACGAUUAAAGUAUUAAUGGCACCAUAAUACGAAAUGAAUCUUAAGUGGUCAUUAUAGAUUUUAAGAUAGAGUUUUAAGUGAUUACCAGAUACUUUAGCUGCUGAACCGCCACAUCAUGGUUGCCACACAACAAUUUCAAACAGAACCUAAAUAACUUCAUUGCAAAACAGUUAAAUGAAUCUAACUUAGUUUCGUCGUUUGAUUUUCAGCUGUUUUUAACAAGGAAGAUGAUAUUGGAACCUACACUAUCAAAGCGGUUGAUGAUCCGAGAACCUUGAACAAAAACUUUUACAUUCAGCCUCCCGGUAAUAUUUACUCAUUCAAUGAUCUUGUGUCUCUGUGGGAGAGAAAGAUUGGUAAAACCCUCGAAAAGGAGUAUGUUUCAGAGGAGCAGCUCCUAAAGAAUAUUCAAGGUUGGUUAAAACUCUCUUUUUUAAAUGUAUUAAAGAGAGCCGUAUAUUCUCUGCCGUAAAUGUUAUUGAUCCUGUCUUCUCCAAAAUGUUGCAGAAGCUGCACCUCCACACAAUGUGAUAUUAUCAAUUUAUCACUCUGCUUUCGUGAAGGGAGUUCAAACCAACUUCAAGAUUGAACCAUCUUUUGGAGUUGAAGCCUCGCAGCUUUAUCCUGAUGUCAAGUACACUACAGUUGAUGAGUACCUCAAUCAGUUUGUGUAACCCUUCUCUGUUUCCAGCUGCAGCUUGCAGGAUCUUGGACUCUUGGUAAAUAAAUAAUUGGCUUGUUGCCAUCUUUGGUUUUAUAUGUAAAAAUUAUGGUUGUUGGCCUUACUUUCUUCUGGUUGUCCAUGGAAUUUGUUAGACCAUAUUAUGUUUGCUAUGUCAGUGAUCAAAUGAAGUAGGCCAUGUACUUGAUUUGAGAGUAGUAGUUAUAAAAAGCCAUCAUGAUCAGGUGGGUGCGUGGGUUGGGCUUCUAUUAGGGUGCGUGUGUUGGGCUUCAGGGGCUUGUGAUAUGGGUUCGACAGCCCCUAACGGGCAGUCAUUAUAAAAAUAAUUAUAGAGUUACAAAUCUAUGUAAAAAGCAAAAAUUAAAAGUAAUUUAUCAAUAAAAAUAAUUAAAAUUAAUAAAAAGUAGGUAUGAUAUUUCAGAAAUUAAAUUAAAGAUAGCAUUCUAAAGAGUUGGAUAAUCCUCCAACUAAACUAAAGAUCUAGUACAUUUGAGAGCAAAUUUAAUUAAAGAAAAGGAUAAGGAAAAACAAUAGAAUAAUAAUAUUAAAAAUUGCAAAUCUUGGUCUUUUUUUUUUACGAUGAUGUUGAUUUCUUAUAAAUUUAAUCUUAUCUAUAGAAUUAUUUAGUUACUGUAUGUCAAAAUUUCCUAUAAAGAUGAAGAAAAAUUAUAUUAGGAGAAGAUCCAAAUCCGUUUAACUGAUGCAUCAUCAACAACAUGAGUACAACAUUUUCGAAUAAACAAAAGAAACUCGUUUUAUGUGCGAACCAGUUCCAAAAUAAAGAGCAGACUAUUGGAAGGAGACAAAUACUACAAGAAGAACAAAACAUUCUACAGUUCCUACAUGAGCCCGCAACAAUUAAUUAUUAACUCGACAUUCAUUACACUUUUUCUUUAAUUUGACAAAGAAACCAAAAAUAAGAUAAAAUUGACUAAGAAAUAAAAAAAUGACCAAAAUCUUUUUGAAGUUUUGCCAGUUCAGCCAUGCACGCUUAUCUUUAUUCACUUGUUUCCUUUCUUUCCUGGAGCCUUCACAAAUCCUUUACCUUUCUGAGCCUUGCCAAUUUUCCCCUUCUUCAAACCACCUGGCCUUGCUGGAUCCACGUGUCCUUGCAUCCUUUUUCAUUCGUGGAUCAACAAGAAUCUCCCCCUUUCCAACUCUCUCUUGAACUCCUUUCUUUGCGACCAUGUAUUCUUUUGUAGGCCUUUUGGGUAUAGUUGUCUUGUAUAAUUGUUCAAUUUGAUUCCUCUUCGAACGAUCAGAGAUGUCCGCUUAGUCUAAUAUGACAUUUGCCUUCUUGCGAACCUUCUCAAGAUUUCGCAUGGCAACCCGUAUCUUUCGAGCUUUGGUCUUAGCCACCUUCUUGGCAAUAAGGGUGGGCGAUUCGGUUUUGGGAUAAACUUUUGGUUUCGUAUCGGUUUAGAUUCAAAAAUAGUAUAAAAAAAUAUUUAGAUUUUAUGGGAAAAAAUCUGAACCGAAACUGACCUAUCGAUUUCGUCUCGGUUUCAGUUUAGUUUCGAUUCUCCUAAUAGUUUUGUUUUGCCUUAUUGACUUCCGGUCAAGGACACUUUUGAAAAAUUUACAAACAAAAAAAAAUUGGCCAUAACAAAAUUUCUAUAUGUAAAUAUUUCCUAAACAUUGGGCUAUACUAAAUUUUUUUAAAAGGUAGGGAUCCAAACGAUAUUAUCCCUCUACUUCAUCUUCAACCUUCGUCACUUAGCAGCUACCACAGUAUCGAAAUGGAAAAACUAAAAAAGCACCGUAGGAUACGCAUAUCCACACAUAUCUAAUAAAACUAAAUAUUAUUAAUAAUUUAGUAUAGUAAUAAUAAAACAAGACAAACAUGAAAUUAGAAAAGACUAAAGAGCUUUUUAAGAAAAAAGCCAUUUAAAAAACGAAAAAUAGCAAGUUAUUUGGCUAGUUAACUGGCGACAGAAGUAAUGGAAAGAAGCAACAACGGCAGCGGCAGGUCAACAACGAAGAUUCAGCAGCACCGACCACCCACAGACUUGGAUUCGAUUGCAAAGUUGGGACUUAGGAUUUGGGUUUGUGGCUGCUGAAAUUGAAAGCGAGAGAGUAGAAAGUAGAGACUGAGAGUGGUGCAAACAUGUGUAAUUCUGUGUGUGUGUGUGUCUAUAUAUAUAUAUAUAUAUAUAUAUAUAUAUAUAUAUAUAUAUAUAAUGUGAAAUUAUAAAAAUGCCAUUAUAUCGGUUCGAUUCGAAUUUUGUAACUUGUGAUCCGAAAACUGAACCAAAUCGAAUCAUUUGGUUUGGUAUUUAUAUAUUCGGGUUUUUAAUUUAAAAAAAACUAAAUUAAAACUGAAAAAACCAGAACCGAAUUUUUUUUUUUUUUUUUGUUUCGGUUCAAUUCUGCCCAUCCCAACUUAGUAGGCUGGGCAUCAAUUUCUUUGAAUUGUGCUUUCAUUGCAGUAAUCUCCUCCUUGGUAAUAGGUUUAAUUGCUUACUGAUGCCUCAUUUCCUCUAGUAACAACUAGUCUAACAAGUCAUCAUCGUCAAACAUGUACCUAUUAUAAGCAUCAUCCAGAAUUUGCUCUCUUUGCAUUUUGCUUAGUGUCUUCUUUGCACAAGCUAAUAUCUCAGCUUUUUGUAUCAAUAUCUUUAUCUUUUGAUUCACCAGCGGAUGAAUCAUCACCGGAAUAGAGUGGUGAAGGCCCCAUAGAUCAGUGUGAUCAAGUUCUAGUGUAGUUUUGGUUUUGAUUUCAGUAUUAGGAAAAUGAAGCCUAUGAAAUUUACCAAGCUAACAUGCUUCACAAAAGUGCUUUAAUACUUGACUAUGAAUACUUGAAGACGAUAAAUGAGGAUAAAUAAAUUUAAGGCAAAUGUUAUGUUACAAUUAAUGUAACAUACACACUCAAUAACAACCACACAAAUUUUGUGGGCCCAUUAUUUGUGUGGUUGUUGUUGAGUGUGUAUGUUACAUUAAUUGUAACAUAGGGGCUCCCUAAAUUUAAAUAUGCAUUAGAUUUUGAGGGUUGGGAUGUCAAAACUUUUGGUGAAAAAGAGUUAGUACAAGCAUUUUUAUUGAGAUUUAAAACAUUUCUUAAGAUGAUCAAUGCUAGUUACAGAAUAGGAAUGAAAAAAAAAGGCAACAUAGACAAAGGUUUGUUUAUUUGAUUGUAAGAUAGAAAAGACUUGUAUUUAGGUUGUGGAAAGGAUUUGAGCAGCAAUUUAUACAACCUUUUCUCAGCAAAACCUUCCUCUUCAAUGAAUCCUUCACAAAACAAAUAGAUCCAAGAAAUUUGACAAAUAAAUUGUUGUCAAUGGUAAGUUUUGAAAUGCUUAAUAGAUUCUUUGUAAUGGAUGGAACAAACAAUACAUCCUUAAGUAAAAUAUGUCUUAUAUUAUCUUUUUUUUUAAUUAUUUUUAAAAAAUAAGUGAAUAAUAGUAUGUCAAUCUCAAAUAUCAAUAUGUACAAUUUUUAUUUGUGUAAGAAUUUGCAUCCAAUAAUCAUCAAUACAUAAUUGUCUUUUAAUUUAAUUGUUCUCACCUCCCUUCCAAACUUUGAAAAGGUAAAAUAAGAUCAAUCAUGUCGGUGGCAAUUAAUAUAAGGAUUACUUUUCUUAUUUGUAGUAACGUCCUCUGAUUAUUUAGCUGAUUUUCAAGCUACACAUUUAUUCCAUUUGAUGUUGAUAUUAGUAAAAUUAAUGUAAUAUUUAAAAAGGAAAAAAAUCCGUCGAGCUAAAAGCUGAGUAUAAAAUUGAACCCGACCCAAACCAGAAACGCACGCCAACAGCAUGCUUGCGUCAGUCGGCCCAAGCCCAUAAACCCACCAAGCCCAAUCCAAAUAGAAAAAUGAAUUGGAUGCCCGAGAUAGCACAAACAGAUAAGUAACGCUAGCGCUAUCCCCAGUCUCAUAUCUUCAACGGUAUCCAGCCAACAUCUCAAAGUGUUCAAUUUUUUUUUGAAGCUAAAAAAAAAAUUCAAAAUUUUCAAGUGGAAUCUGGGAAGAUGGCAACAAAAAGCAAGAUUCUGGUUAUCGGCGGAACCGGAUACAUAGGUAAGUACUUAAGGUGCGUUUGAAAUUGAAGUUGGACAGGUAUAACUUUAAAACUGCAGCACUAAAAUGUUUGGUAAACACUAACUAUUGUAACUUAAAAACUAUUUAAUAUAAUUUUUCACUUGUAUAAUAAAAAAUUUAUUAUAUCUUUAAUAAUUUUAUCAAAAUUAUUAUUUAAAAUAUAUACAUACUACAUAUUAUUAAUUUUUGUUUUAUAACUAUAAUUUUUUUCCUACCGCAACUGUAAUUUAAAAACUACAGCACCUCAAUCCCAAACAAGACUUUAGUGGAUGCGAGCGCGAAAGACGAUCACCCAACAUUUGCGCUUGUGAGAGACUCCACUCUCUCCACUCCUUCCAAAUCCAAAAUCCUCGACCGUUUCAAAAAUCUCGGCGUCAAUUUAGUUCCUGUGCGCCACUCUUUUAGCUUUCCAUUUUUCCUGCCAAUUUUCUUUUAUUGUGAUUAAUUAAUUAAUGUAAAGAUUUUAUAUUAUAAUUUUGUUUUCAGGGAGAUCUAUACAGCCAUGAGAGCUUGGUGAGUGCAAUAAAGCAAGUGGAUGUGGUGAUAUCAGCGAUAGGUCGCACUCAAUUAGCUGAUCAACUCAACAUUAUCGCAGCAAAUUGCGAUAACUAAUUACUUGGGAUUUUAAAGAAGCUGGAAAUGUUAAGGUACUGAUUAACUUAAGUAAAUGCGUUAACUAAUUACUUGGGAUUUUAAAUUCAAAUGCGUGAAUUGUUCUAAAAAAUGAUUUAUGUUUAUUAGUCAGAGAUUCUUUCCUUCAGAAUUUGGAAAUGAUGUUGAUCGCGUGCAUGCCGUUGAGCCAGCAAGAACAUCAUUUGCCACCAAGGCUAAAAUCCGCCGAGCUGUUGAGGCUGAAGGAAUUCCAUACACCUACGUAGCUUCCAAUUUCUUCGCUGGUUUGUAUCUUUCCAGUUUCUCACAGCCUGGAGCCGCAGCUCCUCCAAGGGAUAAAGUGGUCAUCGUAGGUGAUGGAAAUGCAAAAGGCAAAGCGCUUCUGGAUACAUUUACUCUGUACACGCAGUGUGUGGUUACUGUUUAGGGAUAAAAAAGGAGAUUAAUUAAUAAAGAAAAUGAAAUUAUUGAGGGAUUUGCUGAAGAGUUGCGUGCACUCCUCAUUUUUCUCCACCACUCAUCUUACUUGCAAAAUGCAAUGACCAAACUAUCCUCGCCAAAGCCUAGACAUUUGCUUGUGUUCAAAGGCCAUUUAAGGGAGACAAGUACAAAAAAUUAUAAAGGAUAGUGAGCAAAAGAAGAAAAUGGAAGGGGGAGAGUAAAAAAGGGGAGUGGGGCGUUAUCCAGGGAGGAUUUUUAUUUUUAUUUUUUUCCUCUCUUCUCCAUGGCAUCUCUUUCUCUCUUUCUCCCACUAAGAAAUUCUUUCUUUUACACUCUAUUUUACUUUUCUACAAAUUACACAAAAAGCUUUUGGUUUUAAGGCAAUGUUUAUUAAGCCACAUGAACUUGAAAAAGCAUGAAUAAGGGGAUGAUUUUAACACAUUAAUUCACCAACAUUAAUUGGAAAAGAUCAGUUGCCACUUCGAAUCAGAGUAAUUUCUUCGGCAAUAGCCAAAUAUUGAUAUUUGAUCUUGACACUGUAGUUAAAUGAAUGUAACUGGUUUUGUCAUUUGAUCCCCAGCAUUUUUUUAACAAGGAAGACGAUAUUGGAAUCAAUUCUAUCAAAGCGGUGGAUGAUCCAAGAACACUGAACAAAAUACUUUACAUCAGACCCCGUUGCAGUAUCUACUCAUUCAAUGAUCUUGUGUCUCUGUGGGAGGAAAAGAUUGGCAAAGCCCUUGACAGGGUCUAUGUUACAGAGGAACAACUUCUGAAAAACAUUCAAGGUUAGUUAGAACUAUCACUUUAUUCGUUACUGAUGACAACACAUGGAGAAAUUUUCCUUGGUCUUAUCAAGUGGAUAGAUGUAACUGACCGAUAAUGGAAAAUUUUUUCCUUCUCCAAAAUGCGAUAGAAUCUAAUCGGUUUCAACAAUCUCAAGAACAUCUAUUCAUGGUUGUGUUGUUUGAAAUCUGUAUGUAUCAGUUUUCUUUCUAGAUCUCAGAUUGCUCGCAAGGAUGUCAAGUUUUGAUGAUGCUUGCCUGUUUUCCUGUGUUUACAGAAGGCUCAUAUCCACUCAAUAUGAUAUUAUCUAUUGGGCACUCUGCCUAUGUCCUGGGAGAUUAGACCAACUUCGAAAUUGAACCUUCAUUUGGAGUAGAGGCAACCGAGCUUUGUCCAGAUGUCAACUACACUACUGUGGAUGAGUACCUCAACCAGUUCAUAUAAACCUUCUGAGAUGAGCAGCAGGAUCCUAACCAAAAAUUGGGUGGUUUCCAUCCCUGAUUCUAUGGUAUAAAGAUAGCGGCUUUCCAUGCUUUUGCCAGUUCAAUGAAGUUUGUUAGAUGAUGUUAUUUAUACUAUACUAGCAAAGAUCAAGUUGCCUUUCUUGUCAAGAAGCCAAGCUCUGGCAUUGGUUUAUGCUAGUUUUUCACACUAAUAUUGGUAUUCACUAAUUUUUUUUUUUUCAUUUCACACCUCCAUCAUCAGUUGAGAUACCCUCUUGUAUGGUACUAACUUUGAUUUUCCUUAUGCUUCACUUGCUGUCUCUGCAGAUUCGUAAAAGAUCAUUCAUGGAUAAGAUCAGAACAUCAAUGUAAUACAGUAUGCAUUGAGAACUCCCACAUGAGUCUUGUUCUAGUUCUCGUUAGACAUGAAACAUGUUACAGUUCCAUAACUUGAGACAUUGUCAUUCAACAAUUAUCAUCGCAUUAAAACAGUGGCCAAUCCCUAACAGCUACCUUUUGACUCUUCACAUUUUUUUUCUGCAUUUUAUGCGCAUUAAUUAUCCAGACCUAGACUUACUCUUCUCAGCUUGGCCCGUUGGACAGUGAGUGAUGAAACAGAAAAUUUUUCAUGUUUAUGAAUGUAUGAAGUAUCUCUUCUGCACUGCACCGGCAUCCUCCUUAACUGUCAGUAGGAUCACAAUAAGUCGACCAACCAUCUACCGUAUGGAUUAUCUAUAAAUUGAAAUUGGUGUGUAUUAUGGAUCUGUCACUCUGCUGCUUCUGUUUUCUUUUCUAUUUUUACCAAGAAAGAAACAUUGUUAAAACUGAAUGGUUGUUAUCUCGUCUUGUUGUAAUGUUGUGUAUGCUUUCUAGAAAAUAAUGAAGUGCCAAAUAUGAAAAUACUAGUGGCUACCUUACCAUCCUUAAUAAGUUGUCUGAUUGUCACCGUCAACAAUCACUCUCAGAAACUCAUAAUCCAUUUAAGCAUAUUAUAAAAUAAUCAAUUUUGUAUUUGCACCAACUUUUAGUUUUAAAUGACAAUUUCGUUGAUCCCCUCACACUUCUGUACUAAUCAAAUCCACUGAAACUGGACUUUUUUUUUUUUUUUUUUAUAAUUACAUCGAUUGCAAUGGCUAUUGCAGGGAAAAGACAGCCUCUACAGGGAACUAAACUUUCAGAAUUGAUCUUAUGAGGGUUUGAAUAUGCUCUCGUACUAGGUCAAUGGCCUAUUGGUUCGAGACCAUUCACAAAGAAAGAAAUGAGUUUUGCUUGUAUAAAUGAAAGAAAUCCAAAUGAUAACUAAUGUAUAGUGGUACAUGAGAAAAAUAAUUUCAGCCCCUGUGUAAAGUCAAAAAGAGAAAAUAUUAAAAGAAAGGAUAAUGUCAUUGAGUUCGGUGAAGUGAAAGAAAAUAAAAAACAUGGGAUUUAGUCAAACUUAGUGUCCCAAUCAGCAGAAAAAGGUUUUAGAAACUCACCUCAAGUUAAGCCAACUAUUAGGAGCUUUAUUUAAUCAUGGCUUUCUAAUGUAUAGUACUCCAAUACUAAACGAGGGCUACCUCUACGCUUGCAAAUGUAAAUGAAAUUGAGUUCGUGACGCACAAUGAAGUGAGCAAAAUGAGUUGAGAUCUGAGAAUAUAUUAAAGAAAAUAUGAAUCAAUGAAUUUUGGUUAAAAAAAACAAAUGCUGGUUCUUCAAGACCUGCGUGUAUUGUGUAAGUUUUGUUAGGAGAAGGAAAGCAUUUUGGUCUAAAACGCACUAAAUCGGAUUCAUUUGCUUGAUAUCUAAUAAGGGUGAAUUAACCACUCGCCCACAGCAAUUCAAGUACCCAAAAAAGUUUUGUGGGGGCUAAAUUUCUUCUUUAAUUAUAACAAAUAAUUGAGCGGAGGAUAAAAAUUUAGGCCAUGUAUAACAAUAACUAAUAUAAACUAGUCCUAAUAAUAGUAUAAUUGUAAAUAUCAGUUGUAGUCUCAUACAAUAUAAGUUUAUAGAUUAUAAUAUCGGCAUAAAAAGAAAAAUGAUAUCUGACGGUCAAUCAAUAAAAGGACAAAAACUUGGAGUAACAUACCACAAAGUCAAUGUAGCUGGACAGUGAAUAUAAUAUGUAAACAAAUUUAAAUGGGAUAAUACCAUACGGUACAUACAUAACAUUUUAAAACUGAAUUAAAAAAAUAAAAUUAAAACUGAAUUGGAAUUCGUAUGUGUAUCCAGCUACCUUGCCACAGUUGUAAGGUACCCUAACUUUGCAACAAUUUCAUCCUUCGUGCAUUCGGUCACAAAGUCCAAAUUAGGCACGUUUAAGAAUCGAACUGAAAAACUAAAAAAAAGAAUCCGGCGAUAUUUGCGAACCGGAAACGAGCCAGCGUUAUGCUUAUGUCAUUUCAGAGAUAUCAACAGUCGUGCUUUCAGUCCUUAAACCUCAAGGGCAUUUUCGUCCUUUCACUCAAGCGUGAAACUGCAUGUAAGAACUGCUUCGCUUACACGCUCCAUGCACAUUUAAAGGCACCACUGUCGGAUAAAAAAUAUCCAUCCAUUUGAUCAUUUCAAAACAAAACGAAAAAAAAAAUCUCAGUAAUUGAACUGAACGAGUCUCAGAAAUGGCAUCGAAAAGUAAGAUUCUAUUCAUCGGCGGGACAGGGUAUAUCGGUAAAUCCACUGUCGAAGCGAGCGUAAAAGCCGGCCACCCGACGUUCGUGCUCGUGAGAGAAUCCACAAUCUCUGGUCCUUCCAAAUCUCAACUCCUCGAUCACUUCAAAAACCUCGGCGUCAAUCUCGUCAUAGUGCGUUUUCAUUUUUCUCUUUUCUUAAUUUUUUAUUCCGAUCAUUUUUACACGUCGAAGUGUAGCAUCUACUACUUAAUAUACAUAAUGAUAUUAUUAUUUUUUAAUUUUUUUGGGUUGCUGUUAUUAUUAUGCAGGGAGAUGUGUUGAAUCACGAGAGUUUGGUGAAGGCGAUUAAACAAGUGGACGUGGUGAUAUCAACGGUCGGUCACACUUUAUUAGCUGAUCAGGUCAAGAUUAUUGCUGCCAUUAAAGAAGCCGGUAACGUUAAGGUAUAACAUAAUUAAUGUAAAUGUCUUAGAUUCCGAUCAGGAUUGUGCACUCGCGAACACGUGGUGAUUUAUUCUUGGUGUGGAGCUCGCUGUAGAGUAGAGCUCCCAGUUCAGCUAAUAAACACCCCGUCACAUGCGCAAUUGCGCCUCAAAAUAAUUUAAUUGAUUAAUUAAGGAUAAAUACCAAUGGCAUGAAAGCAAUUAAAAUUAGUUGAUGUUUAUAAAUUAUUUAUUACUCAGAGAUUCUUACCAUCGGAAUUUGGAAAUGAUGUUGAUCGAGUUGAAGGCGCCGUAGAGCCAACAAAAUCGACGUAUGACGUAAAGGCGAAAAUCCGCCGAGCCGUUGAGGCAGAAGGCAUUCCGUACACUUACGUAGAAUCUUAUUGUUUUGAUGGCUAUUUCCUCCCCAAUUUGUUGCAGCCUGAGGCCACUGCCCCCCUAGGGAUAAGGUUGUCAUCUUAGGCGAUGGAAAUCCAAAAGGUAAUAUAAUUUAAUUAAGCUCUGUUUGUUUGGUAUGUAUUUCGGUGUUAAUGUUAUUGUCUGUUGUACAAUGGAUGGUCUUGCUUGGUACUGUUGUUGGAGAGCUGCAGUGUUUUGAUAAACACCUCUAUCCUUAGCUUUCAAGUUAAGUUGAUUUUAUACAACACUUGUUUAAUUCAAAACUUGUAAUAUUCUUACUACUUUGAUAAAAAAUAUUACGAUUAAAGCAUUAAUGGCACCAUAAUACGAAAUGAACCUUAAGUGGUCAUUAUAGAUUUUAAGAUAGAGUUUUAAGUGAUUACCAGAUACUUUAGCUGCUGAACCGCCACAUCAUGGUUGCCACACAACAAUUUCAAACAGAGCCUAAAUAACUUCAUUGCAAAACAGUUAAAUGAAUCUAACUUAGUUUCGUCGUUUGAUUUUCAGCUGUUUUUAACAAGGAAGAUGAUAUUGGAACCUACACUAUCAAAGCGGUUGAUGAUCCGAGAACCUUGAACAAAAACUUUUACAUUCAGCCUCCCGGUAAUAUUUACUCAUUCAAUGAUCUUGUGUCUCUGUGGGAGAGAAAGAUUGGUAAAACCCUCGAAAAGGAGUAUGUUUCAGAGGAGCAGCUCCUAAAGAAUAUUCAAGGUUGGUUAAAACUCUCUUUUUUUAAAUGUAUUAAAGAGAGCCGUAUAUUCUCUGCCGUAAAUGUUAUUGAUCCUGUCUUCUCCAAAAUGUUGCAGAAGCUGCACCUCCACACAAUGUGAUAUUAUCAAUUUAUCACUCUGCUUUCGUGAAGGGAGUUCAAACCAACUUCAAGAUUGAACCAUCUUUUGGAGUUGAAGCCUCGCAGCUUUAUCCUGAUGUCAAGUACACUACAGUUGAUGAGUACCUCAAUCAGUUUGUGUAACCCUUCUCUGUUUCCAGCUGCAGCUUGCAGGAUCUUGGACUGUUGGUAAAUAAAUAAUUGGCUUGUUGCCAUCUUUGGUUUUAUAUGUAAAAAUUAUGGUUGUUGGCCUUACUUUCUUCUGGUUGUCCAUGGAAUUUGUUAGACCAUAUUUUGUUUGCUAUGUCAGUGAUCAAAUGAAGUAGGCCAUGUACUUGAUUUGAGAGUAGUAGUUAUAAAGCCAUCAUGAUCAGGUGGGUGCGUGGGUUGGGCUUCUAUUAGGGUGCGUGUGUUGGGCUUCAGGGGCUUGUGAUAUGGGUUCGACAGCC